UUGUAAGUUUUCAACUUUUUUGUUGCUUAAUUUGUUCAAUUUCUUAUGUCUAACGGGUCAAGUGGGCAAAGUUGGCUUGCUAUGGGUCGGGUUCAAUCGGAUUUUGCCUAAAAUUUAAAUUAAACCAUAAUAAUUUGGUUUUUGAGCCCCAAGAACCGUUUGAGUUUGGUGUUUUAUAGUUUUGGUUGUUGGUUUUGUUUUGGAUUAAUAGUUUUUGGUAACUAAAAUCGCUUCUUGAAACCGUUCAUGGAUUUCGAUGGAAGGGGAUCUAUUAAAUUCGAUGUUUGGUGAGCACAAAUCUAAUGUGGUUCCUCUUUUAAUAAAAGACCAAAAUAGUCUUAUUAUAUAUUUAUUAAAUUAAUAAAACUAAAACUAAAACUAUAUAUAUUUACAAUAAAUAAAAAUUCAUCGCCUUAAUUUUUAUUAGGGUGGACGGAACCGUGUGAAAUGGCCUUUGGGUUGGUAUGGUGACUCGAUGGUAUCGCGAGGAACACCAUCACAACUAUUGUGGUAUCAAAAAAUGGAGAGAGUUUUAGCCUUGAAGCACCCAAACAUCUUUUUGGUUAUCUACUUUUGUGACCGUUAAUAAACAAUAAAAACAUAUGUUUUACACAAUUUAUUACCCGUAUAUAUUACCAUCAACCACUUCAGAAACCACAUCAACCUUAACAACUCUCUUCAAUUUCAUUUUAAUUCUCUCCGAUUCAAUUAAAACAAUUCUUUAUUUCAUUCCGAUCUUUAAUAUUCCAUUCAAAUGGAUUUUACCAAUGGCAAAUCCAAAAAAAAAACAUGUUAUAAGUGAAAGAAAAAGUCGUGGUAGAAGAAGGAGUUCGCUAAAUUUUCCAAAUUUGAUUCUUGAAACUCAAAUUCCGCACUAUCCUCACUACCAACAAUAUCUACCCAAAUAUUGUUAAUGUCCUAUACGACAUUCAUAUAAUCAAAUUUAAGUAUCUCAAGAUCAACCUUACAAUCACACAAUCACUAUAGCUUGCAGCGGCUGAAGACUGAUACAAUAACCAUCUAAACGUAUAACUCAAGGUCAACCAUAACCUAAGACCUAAAACCAUAAACCCAAAGUCAAACUUAGUCAAAAGUCAAUAAAAUAUCAUAUUCCGGUCAAAAAACGCACCACCCCCCAUAAGGGUGCCCCGCACCCUCUACGUGAUAAAACAAUUGAGUUUCUAGGCUUGAUCGAGUCGCUAAUUAGAAGGAGUUGGAGUCAUCUCAGGUCCAAGCUUACCAACAAGAUGGGACUAAAAGCAUAAAAAUGAAUCAAUAAUUAGAUCUAUCAUAUGAGAAGGAAAGUUGGGAGAUUUAUACUCACAAAAGUUUAGAAGAUAAGUAAGCUUUAUGGAUCUACAAUGCUCCUUUGCUUCUACACACCAAGAUGGAGCCUUCUUCUAUUAGCUUUAACCACCAAAAUGAUAAAAAUAAGUUCUCAAAGAGGAUUCUAAGCUCAAAUAUGGGAGAAGAUGACUAGGGUUUGCUGGAAACAUUCUCUAGGGUCGAUAGAGGCUGAGAAUGAUCUAACCCUAGAGACUUAAGUGUCCUUAAAUAACCUACAAACCCUAAAAACUCAGGCAACCCAUAGGCCUGGGCGCCCCACACUUUAUAAGGGUGCACCACGCCUUACCAGGUUGAACAAGCCCAAAAGCAAAUCCAAGUCCAAAUUGUCCAAGGUCCAAUCAUUUUUGAAGUUAAACAAACAAAAUCACGCAACCGAGAAUAGGAUAUUACACCCACAAUCCAAUCCCAAAACCCAACUUUGUGAUGUCUAGAAUGUCAAUUCAACCAAAUCAAACGAUAAAACCCAACCUAUCCCUCAAAUCCAAGAAUCAAUCGACGAAUAACCCCAAUAUGUUGUCAAAUCGAAUCAAUUGUCUAAAAGUUUUACUCAAUGUAAAAAAUAUAUAAAAUGGAACGUGGAAAUCAACAACAACUUGAUUCAUUUUGGUAAUCGAGUACUUGAUAACUUCAAAAUUCAACUUGGGGGUUCGGAUCAUACUAUGCAUCAAGUGAACUCAGAGUGGAAGAAUUUGAACAAGUUUAAUUGCAUCUUCAACUACAAGAUGAAACCACGAGCAAUUGGAAGAUUGGAAUUCUCUAUUUUAAAGGCAACACAAAGUAAGUAUAAAAAAAACUCUAAAAAAAUGAAAACUUUUCCUUAGGAGGCGACAUGAAACAUUUUGAAAACACAUCCGAAAUGUUAAACCGUGGGUGCAAUGGGUGAUACUCUCCAUCCUUCAUCGAAAAGGACCAAAGCAUCUUACUCCAACAAUACACAUCCUCUUCAGAUGCACAAUUUCCAUCUAAAUUUAACGUAGAGGUUGAAUAGAUUCUGGUUGAAGAAACGCAACGACUACAAUGAAAAGGGAAGAAAUCGGUAUCUCCAUCCUCGUAUACAUAUCAAUAGGAUAAGUUGUGUAUCAUGGAAAUGAAGACGCAAAAAUUAUACUAAUCUUGGAGGAGUAGUUAUGCUUGUUUAAGGAAACACGAAUGGAAAAUAUAUUUGUGGUUCUUUCUUUAGCCGCAUGACCAUUUGAGUAGAUGGAUGUCAGAUGUGUUGUUCGCUUAUAAACGGGAACUGGAAAUGAUUUAUUGUUGGAAGUUGUAGAAUUUCUAAUUUUAUUUUAAUUGUCGUUUUAAGAUUUUAAUUAAUGUUUGUCGUAGUGUGGUUUUUUUAAUGAAAUGUUAAUUUUAUAUUUAGUUUUACUUACUUAACUUUAAAUUUCUAAAUGUACUAUUUUUUUAAAAAUGUGUGGGUUGAGAGGAUUCAAUUUCCAAAUAUCUAGGGUUGAGAGGUGUUAUUCGGUCGGUUUUUUCGAUUUUCGGUUUAAUCGGUUUUUUUACAUCUUAAAACUAACCAUAACCAAACCAAAUAAGGUUCGGUCUAAUCGGUUUUGGUUAAUUCGGUUACGGAUUAUUCGGUUCCGUUUACCGGAUAAACUGAAUAAAAUUCUUCAUAUAACAAUAACUAUUAAACUAAAACAAAAAAAAAAACUUACUAAACUUUCACCAAAUAAAAAAAAAAUUACACUAAUACAUACAAUAUUAUAUUCGGUCUUCUAUUAUAUGUUGUCUUGAAAUAUCGAUAUAAUCAUAUAAGUUAGAGGUAGGUUAAUAUAAUUUUAGUGGUAUAUGAAAAGAAAAGGAUUGAUGGAAGGUUAAUUAAAUGACAUUUUGUCUAAUUAGUUGUUUUUUAAUACAAUAUAUAAAAAAUUAUAAAUUUAUAAUGGUUAAUAGUUAAAUAAUGAGUUAAGAAUAUAACUUUUGAUAAGUANAAAAUAAUGAAAAAUAAAUAAAAUUCAUACCAAAUAAGGUACCUUUAUUCGGUUAACGAAACCGAAUUAACCAAAUAACCAAAUAAUCCGAACCAAAUAAACCAAACAUCAUUCGGUUAAGUUCGGUUAUUCAGUUUUGUUAUUUUAUCACACCUAAGAGGGAUUUAAACGAUAUUUUUUUUUAUGUGAGGUAUAUAUGGUAUGUGGGUUAGGAAUAGGAGGGGUUGGAAAGAUUGAUUCCCUGCACUUUAUGAAUUCCAUUCCAUUAUGAAAUUUUCAGUUUUUCAGAAUCAGAAAUCCAUUCUGCUGGUUUUUAACAUAGCUGAUUUUUUUUCGUUUUUGGUUCGAUUUUCCGGUUUUUUGCACACCCUUGGGCAAAAUAAACGGGUUGGUCAUGACUCAUGCGUAAAGGAUGUAUUUAUCAUUUUAUUGCUNNNNNNNNNNNNNNNNNNNNNUAGGAAGGUAUAUCAAAUUAAUGACCUAUUUUCCAGUUUACAAUUUAAUCUUUGACUUAGAUUCGAAUGUAACUGCAGUCUGUAAUACCACUAUGGAAGGAGCUGGAAUACUUCAAGGAAUACCAAACCAAUUUGAAAGCUCACUUGGGAGAUGCAAAAGCUAGCAAAGUAUUGAGUGAAGCACUUUAUUUGAUAAGCCUUGGAACCAAUGAUUUCCUAGAAAACUAUUUCGCACUUCCAAUUAGAUCAAGAGUCUAUUCCAUUGAAGAAUAUGAGAAAUUUCUUGAAGAUAUAGCCAGAAAUUUUGUCAAAGAUUUAUAUAAUUUAGGAGCUCGAAAAAUAUCUCUAAAUGGGCUUCCUCCUAUGGGUUGUUUGCCACUAGAACGCACUGAAAAUUACUUUUCAGGGACGAAAUGUGUACAACUAUAUAAUCGUGUGGCUAAGGAGUUUAAUCUGAAGUUGAAGCAUUUGGUCAAGAAGCUAAAUAAGGAGUUGGCUGGUAUACAAUUGGUCUAUUCGGAUAUAUAUUACAUUCUAUCAGAUGUCAUCAAGAAUCCACGCUCUUUUGGUAUGUUUAAUUAUGAUGCUUUUAUAACGAGCAAAUUAAUAAUAUGACAUUUAUUUAUUGAGUUAAUGUCAUAAGUAGGUAACAAACUUUUUUCUUUUUGUACAAAACACCGUGUUAUUUUAAUAAAGUAUUAUAGAAAGUAAACAAUAUCUAGAACUAAACAUUCGCAAAAUACCAUUAAAAUAAUGGUAUAUUGCGUACAAGACAUUUCAGUUGCUCACCUUCUUACAAUAUUUUGUAAAACAAUGGUGUUUUGUACAACAAAAACUUCUCCACCCAUUUUCGACAUUAACCUAUAUUUAUAUGCAUUAUCAGCCGUAUAUAGCUUUUGGGCAUCUCCAUCCCAAUUAACCCCAAAUACUGUUUUUUAUGCACCAUUUUAAUGUUCAUAAAUAGCAAAACACCAAAUAUGAUGGUAUACUAUUUAUUUACACCAAAUUGGAUGUUAAAUCUUCCUUAUACUUCAAUUUUAAAUUUUAUGUAUUCUAGUUUAUUAUUUGUAUAAUGAUAUUCUAUAUUUUAUUAUUUUACUCGUGAUAUUAUACUAUUACUAAAUAGAGAUUAAUAGGAUAAAACUAAAUUAAAAUUUGAUUUUUCAAGCUUAUUUAGAAAUAUAAUAUUGUUUAAUAAUCUUGACCACUAUGCACAUUUAAACAAAACACAUAAUUAUAUUACAAGUAGUCUAAUUACAUAAUUUAUAUGGUUACUAUAGUAAAAAAGAUGUGAUUUAAAAGGAUGUAAUGGAUUGGAGAGAAUCCACACUCUUUUGAUAAGUCUUCAUGAUCAGCAAAUAAUUUGAAAAAUAUGUAUAUGCAUUAUUUGUUUGUUUAUGAACAAAGAAAGAUGAAUAUUGUUUGUGGAAUAAGAAUACUAACUUUGACAUUGUUGGUGAAUUUGAUGUUGCUAUCUGCAGGGUUUGAUGAUGGAGAGAGAGCAUGUUGUGCGACAGGAAGAUUUGAGAUGAGUUACUUAUGCAACAGAUAUAACCCAUUUACAUGUAAAGUUGCAAAUAAAUAUGUAUUUUGGGAUUCAUUUCACCCAUCUGAGAAGACAAAUCUAAUAGUUGCACAACAUGCAAUCAAGACAUCUUUGGUUGCAUUUAUGUAAUUACUUUUAUAUAGACAGGUAUAUUUCAAAAAAAAAAAAAAAAAAACUUCAAAGUAUAAUCCUUUAAAUUUUAUUGAACAUCCCAAAUGGGAAUUGUUGCAAAUUUCAUGAGAUAAAAGGUAGAAAACAUCGUUGUAUAUUAAAAAGGAGAAUUCACUUCGUUCAUACAUCUUUUUUUUUGAACAGUUAAAACUGGGUUGUGCGGGUUGGAUAGGUUGGACGUCUCCCCACGCCUCGUAACGUCUUGGGCCACCAAAACGCAAAUUUGUCAUCUAUCAUAUAUAAAAACUUUUAUUUGAAACAUUGAACAAAACAUUUAUAAAGGAGUUAGCAAUGGAGUUUUAUUCUCAAUUAAAGGGACCUUAUUCAAAUCCUUUUUGCUCCUUUCUAAUAUCUCUUGGAAAAAAAAUAUAAGAAUUUUUUCACAAAAGACUUGUAAUAUCGUUGUAAUAGUGACGAUGAUUGCUCUCUAUAUAUGGACAUGGGUUUCUAAACCAUUUACUCCGAGUUUGUGUGUACUAUUACUACUUCCAUAGGCAGGUUCCUAGUGAGAGUCUAAGACAACUAGAAGUUGGUUGACCUAAACUCACUUCUUCGAGUUUGUGUGUACUAUCACUGCUUAAUUAAUUCUUAUUAUUAAUUUAUGAUAGCUAGUUUUAGUUUGAAAAAGUUACGAUGAGUUCCUAUAAUCUAGCUAUAAUUGUUGAUCUCGAAAAUACUAGGACGCUUCAUCGGAUGUCACUAUGUUUAGAAAGUCAUGUCUGCUUCAACUUGUCGUCGGAUUGUAGCUAGCAACCACAAGUGGGAGUGUCAAUCUCGUAUAGAUCUAUACAUAUCUCUCUCGCUCACUUAAGAAUUAAUGAUUAUAGGCUGGGUGCAAGUUGAAUAUCUAUCAGUGUGUUAAUGAAUUGUGUCUUAUCUAACCCUUAUCAUGGGGGCCUCCCGUGGUCAUUCGUGUUGUUAUUCUACGUUGUAUUUUAUACGGUAUACGUAUACUUAUUAUUACUAUUAUUAUUAUUAUUAUUAUUAUUAUUAUUAUUAUAUUAUUUAAUAUAUAUAUAUAUAUAUAUAUAUAUAUAUAUAUAUAUAUAGUUUNGGUACUAAGUUUAUCCAAAGGUGGCUAUAAUAACGAGUUUCAGCGUUUCCUGGUAAUUGGCCAACACGAAAACUAGGUAUCUUCUUAUCUAUCAUAAUGGUUCAAGAUAACAACUAGGCAUUAUAUUAGAUAAAGAGUUUGGGUAGAGUUACAGUCGGUCAUAAUAUUAUCCUAAUGCUAUGGACAUAAAUAUCUUACUAUAAGUAGUGAUAACUACGUAAAGUUGUAUUUUAGACAUGUAUUACCCCCCCCCUUAAAAAAGAGUUGAAAAUNAGUUGAAAAUGGGGUCGUAAACUCACCUAAGAGUUAUGUAACCAUUGAUGUAGGGUAGGAAUCCACAAUCUAGUACUUCGAGAGACAUUCGGGAUAGUGGCACAAGAAUCGAUAUAAAGAGAGAAUGGGUAAGAGGGGUGAGGAAAAUGGUCUGCCGAAUCUUGCUACUUAUAGCUGUUUUUUGGGUGUGCGUUGUGCAAUUGCGUGCAAACCGUACAAUGAUGCCAUGUAUCGUCUCCUCAGUGUGCCAUGUCAUCCUGUAUCUUGAUGAAAUCGUGUGUUAGUUCGAGCGGUGCAAUGCGCGUGAGCGCGAGUGAUGGAAUAAUUAAACUUUAAAAAUUUGUACCUCUCACAUACAAACUCCAUUUCCUACGACUUUUAUAUAUUCUUGUAGAUCUCUUCACUCUCUACAACUUUCCUUUUGAUCGUUUUGGCUAGUUUUGACUUUUGUUUUUCGACUAGUUUUUAUUAUCGUUAAAAAUCAUAUCUCCAUCAUAUGACUUCCAUCUUAGGUGUUAUCUGCUCCAUAAUUCCUACUUUAAAUAGCACUACAUUUUUCUAGUUGGCGACUUUUCCAAAAACCGACCAAUCUCUCUGUUGUAUUUGACGAUGUAACUUCUUAAGUACGUCAAACAUUUAUUUACUAUAAAUGACAUAUCUCGCUCAUACUGUGUCAGAUUCCCGCCAAAUUUAUAUUUCUGGAAUUGUGGUACCGUUUAGAAUCUAAAUAUAUUAACAUGCUCAAAAAGUGAUGCGACAUUUUGUGCACUUAUUUUUUAGCCUAUGGUUUGACGUUAAUGAGAGUGAUGGUUGAAAUUUUGGCGUUUACAGGUUUGUAUUAUCGUGUUUUCACGUUGGUUGUCGACAGUGGCUAAGGAUGUAGACUAUGGGUUGUCACAAAAUCAGACAAGAAGUCUUGUCGUAAGUGGAUGGAAACGUACUUUCCCGCGGCAUGGCAUUACGGGGUACCAUGGUGCGGUGGUGAAAGUAAGUUGCUUUGUGGGAAAGGCACCACAACACAUAACACAGGGUGUUGAGCAUGCACUUCACCACGAUGUGGUUUCGUAGUCAAGAAACAAGUUUAUAUAUGUUUUAGCCUCCUUUUCGAUCCAUUUUCUCCCCAAAUCGAAUUGGAGUUAGAGAAUGGCGAUUUAGAAGCUAAGAGAGUGCCAAGACAAGCUAGAGAAAGAGGAUAACAAAGAUUAACAUCCUUGCACUCUUAAGAUAAAGAUUUCUCCUCUAGAUUAAGUUUUGAGCUUAAUUAGUGAAAUUGCUAGAUUGGUUAAAAUGGUUGAAUUGAUCAACCUAUAGCUUGAUUAUGAUGUUGAUGAGAAUAUCUAAAAGCUUUGAACAAGCUUUAUAGGUGAUUUCAAAGGUGAACUCCAUAUAUGUAAAGUUAGGGUUUCAAACUCUAACUAAUUAGAGUGGGGAAUUUACGAAUAGAUUAGAGUGUAAUGAAUUAGGUAGUAUGGGAUGAUUAAUUCAUUGGGUGGAAUAAAUUUAGAAGUAGAAAAUGAGAUGUUAGAAUUAUGAUUAACUAAAUGAUUAUUUUGACAUAGAGUAUAUAAGUUCAUAAUAGGUUAAGACAAAUUUUAAGAAAAUUGAUAUGUUGGAUGAAUAUGUCUUGUGUAAUGCCCACAGAUCCAUGCUAGUCAACUUAGAGACAUUAAGUAUCGAAAAUGACUUUUUGAUAGAAGAUUAUUUAUAAUAAAUAAUCUUAACUAAGUUGUAGUAUGUCACACCCCCGAACCGUCAGAAAAACAACAGCAAAAACAUCUGAGGGUGGGUGACGUCAUACGUAGUAUCAAAACAGUCGUAUCAUAGCAAUCAAAGUAAACAUAACCAUUACAUUACAAUAUGAAUAUUUACAUCUGUGUUUGAGAACAUAGUUUGUAUACUCCGAUAUAAACAAAAGAUAAAGAUGAGACUCCAAAAUGCUCCGUCUUCUCCAAAAGCUGGCGAUGGUACCUGUCUAUCGUUGCCCUGAGAAUACAAGCGGUUUUAAAAAUGUAUCAGCAUAAAGCUGGUGAGUUCAUAAGCAUGUUUUUGUAAUGAAAACUAGUCACUGAAUUUUAUAGACGGUUUCUUUUCAAUAUAAGUAAAAGGUCGUUUGUAUUGGAAACCAUUGUUAUCAAGCUUUGAAUAUGAAUGUAGGUUUACCAAGAAAAUCCCAUAUUUUCUAACAUGUUUAUUGAUUUUUCUGUAUGAAAAGUAUCGUUCCGUUCGAAAACCGUGGUUACCACCAGUAUGUAAGAUCUGUUAGAAAACCCUGGCUAUCACCAGUGAGUAUAGUAGUUCUAUUACUUAAAAUAAAACCAAAAGUUGUGUCCCUGGAAUACCCUCCAGUAAGUAGAUAAGUAGUUUUAUUACUUAAAAUAAAACCUUAGAAGAAAGAAAUCCCGUAAAUAAAGGUUAGUUUCUACAUAUUGUGAGUCGUAUAACCAUACUAAUAUGACCGGUGACCUCCUUGACGUUUCUUCAGUCGUCGUACGAUUUCCAAAAUUUGUCACCCCAGGUGUGCCCGUCUAACUGUAGCUAGCAGUUCAGGUGUGGGAUUGUCGGUCCCGAAUAGAUCUAUUCACAAAUUUCACGCUCUCCCUUCAGGAGACUCUGGUUAUACUACCGGAGAGGAUUUAUUGGUACCCCGAGGGGAAUAACGAAGAUAAGUCUCACAAUCUUGUAUUAACUAGUUUACGUGUUGUUCGGUCGUUCUCGAGUUCGAAAUCGUUUGUAACAGUGCAGAGUACAAAUAAUUAUACACAAAAUAAUUAUUAGGCAAAUACUCUAGUUUUGUAUUUGUAGUAAUGGAUCAACUAAAUCUGACAUAGUUUAUAUGUUUCCUUUUGCACGAAGUUUGAAUCUGUAAGACUGGUAAUGAAAUCCCAAAAUAUACCCAUUAUAGUUUUGAAUGGUUAGUUACGUUCAUGUAUUGUUUUGAAAACUAUGCAAUUAUGAUUAGAAAACAUCCCUUAUGCUCCGCAUAUUACAAAAGGGGUAAUUAUAUCUAAAUGUUUGAUAGAAAAUCGUUGUAAUUGCAUCAGUUUUUAGGUUAUGAAAACCUUUAUGUUUAGCUUGUAUCCCCCCAGAAAACAUGAAAAACUCGGAAAAGUGUAGGGGUAUGAACUCACAGUCGGUUGGAUGCAGAGGAUUGAAUUGGGCGACCCUUGAGUUGGUGUAUGUUGCACUUAACGGGAUCCUAAUAUCAAAUAAUACAUAUGUGUAUUUAAAUUAGCGAUUUCGUUAGAUAGGUGUUAGAUAAACACUUGGUUUUUGGCUAAGGAAUGUCAUCGGGAAUUGGUUGGAUCGAGGAAAACAGGCUUUUUCCCACGAAUGUGCUGUUUACGGCCAUGAAUUGGGUUUGUUGUCCAUGGGUUUACGACCCAUGGGUUUGUGGUCUAAGGGUUUAUGACCGUAAACACUGGACGAAAUGUGGGAUUUUCGGUGUUUCAGGGUCCUUUCUAGCCUCUUGGAAUUAUUCUAAACCUUGUGCAAAGCUCAAAGUAGGGUUUAAAGGCCAAUAAUCAACCUAAAAUGGAGUUUACGACCAUUGAAGGGUGUACGGCCGUAAAACCAUUCCGAAUUUAUGAUUUGGGUCGAUUCUAGGUAAAAAAUCAGUGGUUUCCAAUAAACAUUAAGCAUGGAGGGAUGUUACUUACUGAGAGAGGCUUGGAAAACGGUUUUUAGCCACCAAACACUAGUGUGUGUUAUUGGUGUUCUUGGUGAGAGAGGAUAUCUAGCAAAGAUGAAACUAUAUGGAAUGAAAACAUGGAUUCAUCACUUAGAAGGGAUUAAAACACAAUAAAGGUGAUGAAUCACUUACAUUCUUGAUGGUUCUUGAUCAAACUCGGAAUUGUAGAGAGAGAGUAGAGAGAGAAAGCUUCUUAGAGUGUGAAAAGGUUGAAAUGGAGGCCACUCAGCCCUUAUAUAGGGUGAGUUUACGACCAGGGGUGGGGGUCCACCUGGCACUGACCUCAAAUAGAGUUUACGGCCGUACACGAGUUUAUGGCCGUAAACUCGCCUUGGCCGUGAACUCGUGGCUUUUCGAGGGAAUCGUGAGUUUUUCGUUUUCCGACACGUAUGUAUUUAUGACAAUAACCCUAGUUAAUUAACUUAACCCAAGAAGUUGACGGAAAAUUUUAAUAAAAAUUAAAUUUUAUUAACAGAAGUGGGUUACAAUAACGGAAUAAAUUUUGGGUUGUCACAUCAUCCCCCCGUUAGAGGGAAUUUCGUCCCGAAAUUCGAAAAUAAGAUACAAAUUAUGGAUUUGGAAAGAGAUGUGGAUAUUUCUAUUUCAUUGAAUCUUCGCGUUCCCAAGUGAAUUCAGGUCCCCGCUUGGCAUUCCAGCGAACCUUCACUAUCGGGAUGUGGCUUUGCUUUGUUCGUUUGACCUCCCGGUCCAUGAUUUCGAUUGGUUCUUCCACGACGUUCAGAUUUUCGUUGAUUUCAAUUUCGUCAAGAAGGACCACAAGGGUUUCGUCAGAUAAGCACUUCUUAAGAUUUGAAACGUGGAAGACAGGGUGAAUAUUGUUACGCUCUUGUGGUAAACGGAGUUUGUAGGCUAGGGACCGAUCCUAGCAAGGAUCUCAAAGGGUCCUAUAUAUCUUGGAUUUAGCUUUCCACGCUUUCCAAAGCGUAUCAUGCCUUUCCAGGGCGAUACCUUCAAUAGGACGUGGUCUCCGACCUGGAACUCCAAGGGUUUUUGUCGCUUAUCGGCGUAGCUCUUUUGUCGAUCUCGUGAAGCUUUUAGUCAUUCCUGGAUUUGCAUGAUCUUUUCAGUGGUUUCACGGAUAAUCUCUGGACCAGUGAGAGCGUUGUUGGGGACUUGUCCCUUGGCUAGCUGCAUGUCGCCCACCGCAUCCCAGCACAGAGGGGACCUGCACUUACGACCAUAGAGGGCUUCAAAUGGCGUAGCCUUGAUGCUGGUAUGAUAACUAUUGUUGUUGGAGAAUUCAACCAAGGGCAAAUGAGUGUCCCAUGACACGCCGAAAUCGAUGACGCAGACUCUCAACAUAUCUUCCACGGUUUGGAUGGUUCUCUCACUCUGUCCAUCUGUCUGAGGAUGAUAUGAUGUGCUCAUGUCCAGCUUAGCUCCAAGAGCCUUCUGCAGGGACUGCCAAAAUCUAGAAGUGAACCUGCUAUCUCGAUCGGAGAUAAUGGAUACAGGCACACUGUGUAGUCGAACUAUCUCUUGGAUGUAGAUUCGUUUGAGUCUUUCCAUAUUGAAAGUUUAUUUGAUUGGCAGAAAGUGACCAGAUUUCGUCAACCGAUCGACUAUUACCCAAAUGGUGUCGUACCCACUCGGAGAUUUGGAUAAUUUGGUGAUGAAAUCCAUGGUAAUCCUCUCCCACUUCCACUCAGGUAUAUCGGGCUGCUGCAGCAAACCUGAGGGCUUCUAAUAUUCAACCUUCACCUUGGCGCAAGUCAGACACUUGCCCACGAAGGUAGCAAUCUCGGCUUUCAUGUUUGGCUACCAAUAUAGUUUCUUGAGAUCAAGGUACAUCUUAUCCAAUCCUGGUUGAACGGAGUAUCUAGUCUUGUGAGCUUCGUCCAUGACAACCUCUCUAUAUCCACCGAACUUUGGGGUCCAGAUACGGUUCAUGAAAUAAUAGACUCCAUCUCCCUUGAUCUCUAAGUUUUUCUCCAUACCCCUUAAGGCUUCGUCUGCUAUGUUCUCUGGUUUUAGGGCUUCCUGCUGAGCCUCUCUGAUUUGUGCGGCUAAGUGGGAAUGGAUGGUCAUAAUUAGUAUCUUCACUUUACGACCUGAACAUUCUUUCCGGCUAAGGGCAUCUGCUACCACAUUGGCCUUGCCGGGAUGGUAGUGGAUUUCGCACUCAUAGUCACUGAGUAGUUCUACCCAUCGCCGUUGUCUCCUGUUUAAGUCUUUCUGGUCGAAGAUGUGUUGCAGGCUUUUAUGGUCAGUGAAGAUCGUGCAUUUGGUUCCAUAGAGGUAAUGUCUCCAAAUCUUCAGUGCGAAGACCACUGCUCCCAACUCUAGGUCGUGAGUUGUAUAAUUAACUUCAUGUGCUUUCAGCUGCCUCGAGGCAUAAGCAAUAACCUUUCCUCGCUGCAUAAGCACCCAGCCUAAUCCAUGGUUGGAUGCAUCGAAGUAGACAACAAAGUCCUCCGUCCCUUCGGGCAGAGACAGGAUAGGUGCGUUGCACAAAGGAUCGCUUCAAUGUUUGGAAUGCAGUGUCUUGCUUUUCAUUCCAACAAAAGGGUACACAUUUUUGAGUCAGAGUGGUUAAGGGUUUGGCAAUUCUGGAUGAAUCUACGAUAAUAGCCAGCAAGACCCAAGAAUUGACGAAUUUCCGUGGGUGUCUUCGGUGCUGACCAAUUCUCUAUCGCUUUGAUUUUGGAGGGUCCACGUGUAUGCCUUCCUCACAUACCACGUGACCUAGGAAGGUUACUUUUCGAAUCCAGAAUUCGCACUUGGAGAAUUUAGCGUAUAACCUCUCUGUCCUUAGAGUUUCCAGCAUUAAUCUCAAAUGUUGUUUGUGAUCUUCCUCGCUUCUGGAAUAAACAAGUAUAUCGUCGAUAAACACGAUAACAAACUUGUCCAAGAAAGGACAGCACACCCGAUUCAUUAGGUCCAUGAAUAUUUCCGGUACGUUGGUUAGACCGAAGGGCAUUACUACGAAUUCGUAGUGACCAUAUCGAGUUCGGAAUGCUAUUUUAGGAACAUCACCCUUGUGGACUCGUAGAUGAUGGUACCCUGAUCUGAGGUCUAUUUUGGAGAAAAAGAUGGCUCCUUGAAGCUGGUCGAAAAGAUCAUCGAUCCGAGGAAGAGGAUAACGGUUUUUGAUGGUGAGUUUGUUCAGUUUGCGGUAGUCAAUGCACAUCCGAAAAGAUCCAUCCUUCUUUUUCAAAAAUAAAAUCGGGGCUCCUCAGGGUGAGGAACUCGGUCUGAUGAAUCCUUUGCUGAGUAGCUCAUUGAGUUGGCUGGACAAUUCUUGCAUUUCUGCCGGCGCUAAGCGAUAUGGGGAGUUAGCUAAGGGGGUAGCUCCGGGAAUUAAGUUGGUGCGAAACUCGACUUGGCGCUCGGGAGGAAUUCCCGGAAGUUCUUCUAGAAAGACAUCAGGAAAAUUGCAGACUUCGGGGAUGCUCUCGAGGUCCUUAACUUCCUGUUUCUCAUUAAUCACAUGGGCUAGGAAUGCAUGACCCUCAUUUCGCAGAAGUUUUUGGGCUUUGAUGCACGAGAUAAUGCGAAGGUUUGAACUGAGUUUAUCACCAUAGAUCACAAGGAUUUCUCCAGAGGGAUGAUUAAGGCGGACGACUUUUUCGAAACAAAGGAUAUCAGCACGAUUGGGGAUCAACCAAUCCAUGCCAAUGAUGACAUCGAAGCUUUUUAUGGAAACUGGCAUGAGGUCGAUCGGAAAUGAAUGAUCAUUUAGGGUAAGGGUACAGCUGCGAAAUAUAUCGUUAGUGCUCUCUUUCUCACCGUUAGCCAUUUCGACGGUAAAUGUUCCGGUUAAUAAUUAGGGUUUAUGCUUGAGAAGAUGUUUGAAUGAAUGGCUAACAAAACUUCUUUCCGCACCAGAAUCGAAAAGAAUGCAUGCAUAAGAGUUGUCAAGGAGGAACGUACCCGUAACAACGGUAGGGUCAGCGACUGCCUCCUCUUGCCCCAUCGUUAGAACCAUCCCGGUGUUGCUAGUUGUUGUUGCUUUGGGGCAGUUUCUCUUGUAAUGCCCGACCUUGCCACAGCCAUAACAGGCUUGACCGACACCUGCUCCAGAUGUCUGAUUGGUUGGUUGGGCUGGUGUUCUGCAGCUUCGGGCAGUGUGACCCUUCUUGCCAUAGUUGUUGCAGAGCAUUUCACGACAUGGGCCGGGGAUACGGUGAUGAUAACUGCACUUGCUACACCAAGGGAGGGUACCAGUAUAUCCACUGGUAGGUGCUUGAGUUGCAGGAGCAGCGACAGGAGUAGUGGUAGCGUGGACUGCCAUAGUUUGUUAUUUCUUGGAGGACCCUUGCGAACUCUGACCCUUUCGCUUGUUCCAGAAUUUGUUUUUAUUCUCACCACUCUCCUUUGCUGGUUCAGGAGUGGCUGUCGUUGCAUCAAGAUCAACUCCAUGAUCUAUGAGGGUCUACGCCAGGCACUUGGCGCUAUCGAAAGUGAUUGGCCUGGCAACCAAGACAUUCCCUUGAGUUGGGGGCGUCAAUCCCCAAAUGUAUCUCUCUAUCUUCUUGCUUUCCGGGGUGACCAUUCCCGGGCAAAGAAGUGCUAGGUCUUCAAACCUUGAAGUAUAGGCAACAAUAUCAGAACCCUUCAUCUUUAGUAUCCAGAGUUCAUGCUCCAAUUUCUGCAUUUCGCUCCGUGGGCAGUACUCAGCAAGCAUGAGCUCUUUCAAGCUCUCCCAACCCAUAGCAUUUGCUACUGGCAGGGUUAGGGAUUUGACCCGACUAUUCCACCAGGUCAAUGCUCUGUUGGUGAAAGUGCAGGCGGCGAAUUUCACCUUGUUGGCUUCCGAACAGGAAUAGAUUUCGAAGAUAGACUCGAUCUUCUCGAACCAUCGAGUAAAGGCAAUAACACCUCCAGUGCUGUCGAAAGAUUUGGGUUUUGCAUUCAUAAAGUCUUUAUACGAGCACUCCUUCGGAUGCCCUUGACUCCCUUCAUGACUUUGGGAAUGAAUACCACUCCCGGAAUCACCAGGAUUUAUUUGUGACAAAGCAGCAGUCAUGGCGCCAGUAACAGCUGCCUGGAACAUAGCAGGAUCGAACUGGGGAGGUGGUGGUGGCGUUGGAUCCGUCGAGGAAUUGUUGUUCUUUUUAUUGGGUCUUUNAUGAUCAGGAAGAAGAGGAUGGUAAGUCCUCUGAAUUGAAUCAAGAGAUAUGAAGCAAGAAAUAUCUCAGUAUGACAGCUAGAGUGUUCUACUAAGCGAUAAACAAGGAAAAACUACUAAUGCAAAGAAUUUAUCGCAAGAAGAAUGAGUAGCAACACUUGGAAGUGAAUCUUUACAAAGAAUUUGACUCUAGCAAAAUACUCCUAUAGUAUUUUAUGUUUUGUUGUACCGAUGUCAUGUUGUAUGGAUAUUUGGUAAGUUUUAGGCCUGCUGCACACCACAGUCACUCCCAAGCACAUGUUGGUCAUGUCUCAAAUGAAUAUAGUUGAUCAUGCUAUAUUGACCCUAGACAUGAUUACAUAACCGCCCAGGUUUAACCUCAGUGUCCAACAUCCAAUUACUUUUGUUUUGUUCUACUCGUGGUUACUGUUUCUGGUAUAUAGGUAUACUUGUAUACUUCUUCCAAAAUACUUAUAUUUUAAAGUAUACUUUUAGUUCAGAGCACUUCGGCCCCUUAGUGUUUAUAUGUCACACCCCCGAACCAGACGGCAGAAACGUCCGAGGGCUAUUGUGACUCAAUUGAAUAACAUCACAAUGAAUAUACAUGAAACAUAACAUCAUUCAUCACCAAGCAUUGAAUUAAUACAACUGGUAGCGUUUACAUUUAGUACAUUGUUUCAUAACAUUACAUUCCCAAAAAGUAGAUUGUUCGAUACUAGUUAAACAAACAACAAGACAUCACUGGGUACAUUUUUCCUGCGAUUUACCUUUUACCUGAGAAUACAAGUAUUUUGAAAAACGUCAACAUAUGAAAUGUUGGUGAGUUCAUAAGUAAUGUUUGAAACAUGAUGUUUUGUAUUAUUUUGAAAAACCACCAGAAAAUCCGAUAUUUUCUUAAAAGAUUAUUGUAAGUAAGAAAAAGUGUGAAGAUCCGUAAGUAUGCUUGUUUAUUUCUAUAAGUGUGAAAAAUUGUUAUACUUGGUAUGCAUCACGUAGGUGUAAGUGUUGAAACCCCUAGGAAAACCCGAUGUUUUCCUAAUACUUUAAAUUACGCGUUUUAUAUUUGGUUAUACCGUUGUGACGUGUGUAUUUGAUAAUUCCAGGUGACAUUGGAUUAAUUAAGGGUGGUGAGUUGUUGUAAUCACGCAUUAAUGAAAAUGGCUAGCUUACGACUAUACAAACGAACCCUUAGGCGUCGUCUGUACUACUCACCUAAUCCAACCACCCUGACUUCCCAUAGCCCCACAACCUAAGAAGAAAAGAGGGUGCGAAGCCCCCGUUAAUUCCACGAGUCGUUAAAGGCUAUCGUGAAUGCGAAAGGCCCUUGGCCCGACUCGCAUUUGUGAAUUCUCGACUUUGCUAGCAGUACCAAAGGACCCUUGGGGCCCAACAGCGCAAAAGCUAUUGAAAGUCCUUUUACACGGUAUCAGGUCGUAUAAGACCCAAUAUCAUGUAAGCGCGUUUCCUUCGGGCUUAAAGAUCAUGUCAUUGGGCUAGCUAGGCCCAGCAAGCGCGAUUUGAAACUUUCGGGCCCAAAGAUGGUGUAUCGACGUUUGAUGAAUUCCUACGUGUGUAUUGACUUCCCGUAAUUUCAGCAUGUGUAUUAUAGUAUCGUCGUGAAUAGAUUUUUGAUUCGUUAUUGAUUCGAGACCGAAUCAAUUCGUUUGGUAACGAUUUUUGGUGUUGAAGGUGUAUUAUAUUUUGUCGGUAAUCGUGGUACUAGUAUUUUGUCAUAAAGGAUCUAUUGUUUAAAACCUUAGAAUUUUUCUUUUUGAAGCCCUUUUCUUGUAUAAAUUUACACUUUUCACCCUUUAUAUAAAAGAAUUUCCAUUUUAGUCCUUAAGCCAUUUUUCUUGACACUUUAGUAUCAAAACUUGUUGAAAAGGAAAUUUUCAGCUCAAAUUUACUUUAAAAAAAACUGUUUUAGUCCCUCAAAAUGAAGUUUUCUAGGUUGAAACCUCUAAUUUCGCAAUUUUUACAAUUUUGACCCAAAAUGGAAUUUUUUUGCAUUUUUGGUCCCUCUUAAAUUUGAAAAGUAUUUUUAACCCUUGAAAUGGUCUUGGUACACUAGUAGUUCCCUGUUUUACAGAAAAGUGCAGUUUCAGCCCCUCUAAAUUAAAAAUCUCGCAAUUUGGGCUAUAUUGGGCCGAAAAGUUCAUUUUUGGCCCAAUAUGUUUAAAAAUUCACCUUUUAAUCCUUCAAAAGAGUAAAUUUUCAGAAAAUACAUUUUUAAAAUUGUUUUGACUCAUCUCAACCUUCAGAAUUUCUAUUUUGUCAUUUUGGGCCCUUUAGUUUUAUAUAUUUAGCAUUUUGAGCCCAAAAAUGGGUUUUAAGCCCAAAGAUGUUCAUAUUAACCAACUUGGUUAUUUUUCUAGAAAUGAUUUGUGUGUAAUAAUAUAAUUUAUACUUAUUUCAUACAACUUAAUGUAGAUCUCGGUUUUAAGGUCUUUUUGACUAGAUCCAACACCACAAUCACAUAAGAACAUAUAUAUAUAAACAUAGAAAUCACACAAAGCAUACAUAUACUCAUAGAUCUACACAUUUGCUUGUAUUCUCCCCCCACAAAACUUAUAAAAACCAAAAAAUAGGGGGUAUGAAGCUCACCUUUGGGUGUGGUUUCGGCCUUUAGAAGAAGUGAGAAGAAAGUUUGGCCUUAGUACCUCUCCUUGGAAGAUCUCGAACUUAGAGAGUUUCUAGGAGAGUGAUCAAGGUUUUUACAUGGAUUAGAAGAAGAUUUUGAUAAAACAAAGUACCAAAAUCAUAGAUCCUAACUUGAUCUUACCUUAGGUGAAGAAUUUGUGGAGAUAUCUCCUUGAAAGCUCCUUAGAUCUCGAAAUUUUGGAGGAGAAAUGAGAGAGUUUCUUGAGAGAAAAAGAUGAGUGAAAUGUGUGUGUGCGCUUGAAAUCGGCCGAGAGAAAGAGAGAGAGAAGGAGAAAGGAAUGGCUAAGCUUGGAAGUAUGUGAGUGCAUGGAUGUUUGAGUUCUCAUGCAUGGGUGUCCCAUGGAUAAUGGUGAGGUGUCACUCACAAGUCAACUCCUCUUUCUCUUGGGCUUGGACCGAGAAUGGGGAGAGUGAGGGGAGGUUUUUGGGCUUUUUGCCCUUAAGCCCAUGUUCUAGUUUGGUUGAAUGAUUUUUGGCCCUAUAAAAAUAUAAGUUUGAUUUUUAUGCUUUACUAGGCUAGAUUAGGUUAAUUAUGGUCCAAAAUGGUUCAUAUAAUUAAUCUAUUUCAUUCUAGGCCCAAUAUGGCCCAAAAUAUUGAAUUAAAUGAAAAUGGGUCCAAUUAGAGCCCAUUUAAGAGUUCUAAACCCAAGAUGGUCAAAUUGGAAGCUUAUUGGUCCAUUGGGCCCAAUAAGGAAGUCCUAGUCCAAAAGUGGACUUAAACAAGAACUUCUAGGGUUUCCAAUUGCCUAUUGACUACUUGAAAUGCUUGCAUGGUGUAUUUGAUUGAAUUUUUGUUGUCAUAAAGUAAGCAUCAUACAUGCUCUUAAGUCUUUGAUUCACAAUUUUACUUAAUUGUUGUAGUUACAAGGCACAAAAUUUCUAGUUGUGACAUCAUCCCCCCGUUAGAGGGAAUUUCGUCCCGAAAUUCUGUUUGAAAGCUAGAUUUGAGAAUGCUAGAAUAGAUGAGGGUAAUUUUGCUUCAUUUGAUCUUCGCGUUCCCACGUGAAUUCUGGCCCACGCUUUGCGUUCCAUCGUACUUUCACGUUCGGGAUGCGACUCUGCUUAGUACGCUUCACCUCCCUGUCCAUGAUUUCAACCGGUUCUUCAACGAACAGGAGAUUCUCGUUGAUUUCAAUCUCGUCAAGGGGAAUGAAGAGUGNCCUUGUCCGAUGUGAGUGCCUUUGCUAGCUGGGUGUCGCCCACCUCAGCCCAACAUAACGGUGAUCUACACUUACGCCCGUACAGUGCUUCGAAAGGAGCGACCUUGAUGCUCGAAUGGUAACUGUUGUUAUACGAGAAUUCGACUAAAGGUAAGUGGGUAUCCCAAGACUUCCCAAAGUCUAUCACACAUGCGCGAAGCAUGUCUUCGAACGUUUGAAUGGUUCGUUCGCUUUGACCAUCCGUUUGUGGGUGGUAAGCGGUGCUCAUGUCGAGAUGGGUUCCAAGUGCUUUCUGGAGUGAUUGCCAAAAACGCGAAGUGAACCUACUGUCUCUAUCCGAGAUAAUAGACACUGGUACUCCAUGGAGUCUCACGAUUUCUCGAAUGUAUAAACGCGUCAUCCUUUCCAUCUUGUAGGAUUCUUUUAUUGGCAGGAAAUGAGCGGAUUUCGUUAGGCGGUCGACUAUUACCCAUAUGGUGUCUAGUCCAUCCGGCGUCUUGGGCAGCUUGGUCACAAAAUCCAUAGAAAUCCCUUCCCAUUUCCACUCAGGGAUCACCGGUUGCUGUAAUAACCCCGAGGGCUUCUGGUACUCCACCUUUACCUUGGCACAAGUAAGGCACUUACCAACAUAGGUGGCAAUUUCUGCCUUCAUGUUAGGCCACCAAUAGUGUUGUUUAAUAUCCAAAUACAUCUUGUCCGAGCCGGGAUGGAUGGAGUAUCGCGUCUUGUGGGCUUCCUUCAUGACUACCUCCCUAAAUCCUCCGAGUUUAGGGACCCAAAUACGGUUCAUGAAGUAGUAUACUCCGUCCUCUUUUACCUCUAGAUUCUUCUCCAGUCCGCGUAAUGCUUUGCUUGCUCUGUUUUCCGUCUUUAUGGCCUCUGAUUGGGCUACUCCAAUAUGAGUGGUUAAGUGGGAUUGGAUGGUUAUUGAGAGUGUUUUCACACGACGAUUAGAGUACUCCUUCCGGCUCAAUGUGUCAGCUACCACGUUGGCCUUGCCCGGGUGGUACUUGAUUUCACACUCGUAAUCGUUUAAUAAUUCGACCCAUCUUCGUUGCCUCAUAUUUCACACUCGUAAUCGUUUAAUAAUUCGUACAAUAAAGGUAAUGCCUCCAAAGGGUCCUUUCUAGCCUCUUGGAAUUAUUCUAAGCCUUGUGCAAAGCUCAAAGUAGGGUUUAAAGGCCAAUAAUCGACCUAAAAUGGAGAUUGUGGCUAUUGAAGGGUGUAUGGCCGUAAACCCAUUCCGAGUUUAUGAUUUGGGUCGAUGUAGGUCAAAAAUCAGUGGUUUCCAAAAAACAUUAAGCAUGGAGGGUUGUUACUUACGGAGAGAGGCUUGGAAUAAGGUUUUUAGCCACCAAACAUAGUGUGUGUUCUUGUGUUCUUGGUGAGAGAGGAUAUCUAGCAAAGAUGAAAUUAUAUGGAAUGAAAACAUGGAUUCAUCACUUAGAAGGGAUUAAAACACAAGAAAGGUGAUGAAUCACUUACAUUCUUGAUGGUUCUUGAUCAAACUCGGAAUUGUAGAGAGAGAGAGAGAGAGAGUAGAGAGAGAAAGCUUCUUAGAGUGUGAAUGUAACAUCCCAAAAAUACAGGCCAAAAAUUUCAUUUUUAAAUACGUCAUUAUAAAACCAAUAGUGUAAUAAAACAUCUGUAAUAUCAUGUCAUGUCAAAACCAAAGUAGAAAUAAUCAAACGUGUUAUCAUAAAAUAAUAUCAAAGUGUAAUCCCAAAGAUCUCAUGUGCGGAAAACCAUAGUGUGAUGCACUGCGAUCAAGCCGGCUCCUUUCCUUUAAACACGAAGUACCUGAAACCAAAACUGAAAACCGUAAGCACAAAGCUUAGUGAGUUCCCCCAUCAUACCUCAUACCAAACAAUCACAUAACAUACAUAUAUUGUCAGGCAUAUCUGGGUGCCCGACCUACCCCUUCGGUCCUCUCGACCGGAUACAGACUAGUCUAUCUGGGAGCUGGCCUCCCCUUCGGUCCUCUCGACCGGAUACUGACUAGCAUACCUGGGUGCUGGUCUCCCCUUCGGUCCUCCCGACCGGAUACUGACAAGCAUGUCUGGGAGCUGGCCUCCCCUUCGGUCCUCUCGACCGGAUACUAACUAGUAUGUCUGGGAGCUGGCCUCCCAUUCGGUCCUCUCGACCGGAUACUGGGGACUAUUUCACCCCUACUACUACCACAUAACACAUAUAUCACAUAAUCUAUCUAUCAUGGCUGGGCAUGACCGCCCUUUCGGCCCUAUCGACCGGUAUUUUGGGGGACUAUCUCCCCCUACUGUCACUAGCACAUAGCAUCAUAUCAUACUAGCACAAUAACAUAUCACAGGUAGUAGCAACCCUAUAUGAAUAUCACAGAGACAAACAUCUAUCAUACAAUUCCUACUGGUGGGCCGACAUUGUGGCCGUAGACCCACCGCUACUGGAAGGUAACUCACCUCACACUGCUGAAGUCCCGAAGACACAAUCCCAUACUUGCUGAAGUCCCGCAGACUCGACCCCAGCUGCUGGCUGACAAAUUUCCGAACUGUCAACACCAAAAUAACACCCAAUUAAUAAUUGGGUCCCAAUACAUAACCAUAAGUACAUUCUUUGGGUAAUUACUACAUUACCCCUAGCUUGGCUUAUUCAAGCCCAAGGCCCAAUCCAUAGGCCCAAAGUCGACUAGGAAUCAAAGCCCAACACAUGGCCCAAUUUUCCAAAUUGGGCCUAGGCCUAUACAUGGUCUUAUUCUGAGGCCCAACAUCAUGUAAUUAUUAAGGCCCAAACUAUGGCCCAUUUAUGGCCUAAUUUUCCAAAUUGGGCCUAAACCCCUUACAUGGGCCUUACCCUGGGCCCAUUAAAUUAUUCUAGUUCAAUUGCUUGCUCUUGGAUGGUCCAUUAUUAUCUCAAUCAUUUAGGCCCAAUAGAAAGGCCCAACAUUAAACCCAAGUGAAAUUAGGGUUUCACAUAAAAUGAUGAUUAGGGUUAAGUUUCCUACUUAACCCAUUAAGGACUUAAUCCAUUAAGUCCAAUAUUGCUUAGAUUAAUUUCCGCUAAUGAUUAUUAUUCAAUAUUCCAAAUUAUUAAAUAAUUCCCGAGAGUCCCGAUUAAUUCCCCAAAUUAAGAUUUAUUGGCAUUAGGGUUUUCCAACACAAAUUCUAGCCCAUUAUUAAUUUGUUGGACUUUUAGGUUAUUUAGGGCUUUAUUGGGCCUAUCAAGCCCACUAGAAUAUCAUUGAGCCCAUUAGGGUUUUAUUAGGGUCUGUUAAGCUUUAUUGGGCCCAUUUGAGCUACUUUGGCCCAUUAGGGUUUCAAGCACCCCCAAACAAAUCAAACUCACAAGGAAAACACACCGCCACCCGACANNNNNNNNNNNNNNNNNNNNNNNNNNNNNNNNNNNNNNNNNNNNNNNNNNNNNNNNNNNNNNNNNNNNNNNNNNNNNNNNNNNNNNNNNNNNNNNNNNNNNNNNNNNNNNNNNNNNNNNNNNNNNNNNNNNNNNNNNNNNNNNNNNNNNNNNNNNNNNNNNNNNNNNNNNNNNNNNNNNNNNNNNNNNNNNNNNNNNNNNNNNNNNNNNNNNNNNNNNNNNNNNNNNNNNNNNNNNNNNNNNNNNNNNNNNNNNNNNNNNNNNNNNNNNNNNNNNNNNNNNNNNNNNNNNNNNNNNNNNNNNNNNNNNNNNNNNGGCGGCAGCCACCACCCUAUGGUGGUGGUUUGAUUUUCCUUUCAUUAUUCCAAUUUUUACAAUUACAAUGCACUCACGAAAUAACAUACACACAUACACUAUACUAAAAAUAACACACACCCACAACCACCCUUGUGGUGGUCGGUGGUAGGGAUGAGAUUUAGAACUGGAAAACCGGACCGGAACCGGAACCGAACCGGAACCGGACCCGUUAGAACCGGAAUAUAUAGAACCGGGUCCGGUUCCGGGUUUAAAAAUUGGCUUUAUCCGGGUUCCGGGUAAUCCGGGUUUGGGUCCAUUGGGUCCGGGUAAACCGGGUCUAAAAUCCGGAACCGGUUUUUGGAACCGGAACCACUUUUAGGGCCGGAACCACUUUUUGUGAAACGUUUACAAGAUGCAUAUCUUAUUCGUUUCAACUCCAAUUGACAUACGGUUUUUUCCAACAUGUAGUUUAGAGUUUGUACAUGAUUCUAGACUAUAAAUUUUUCAUUUUUAGUUUUAUAUUCAUUGACUUACAGUCCUCAAAAGUUGAGAUACCAAAGCUGAAAGUUUUUAGUUUUUUAGUUUUUUUGUAUUCGGUGAAAGUUUUAAAGCAUGCAUAUCUAAUUCGUUUGAAGUCGGAUUGACAUGUGGUUUUUUCCAACUUCUAGUUUACAGUUUGUACAUGAGUUUAAACUAUAAUUUUGUCAUUUUUGGUUUAACAUUCAAUGAUUUACAGUCCUCCGAAGUUGGGAUAUCAAAACUGAAAACUUUCAACUUUUCAGCUAUUUGUUUUUGUACUUUGUAUUAUGUGAAAAUAUUAACACAAGUAUAUCUCAUUCGUUUAAAUUCGGAUUGACAUGCGGGUUUUUCCAAAGUGUAUUUUAGAGUUUGUACAUGAUUUUAGACUAUAAUUUUGUUAAUUGUGGUUUCGUAUUCAAUAAGUUACAGCCCCCCAAAGUGGGGAUAUCAAUAUAAAAAUUUUCAAAGUUCAACCCACUAAGUUGUAAGUAAUUACCAAAAAAUUCCGGUUUUUUCGGGUUUUCCGGGUCUAAACCCACUUUAUCCGGUUCCAACCUACCCACUUUGAAGUUUCCGGGUUUUCCGGUUCUAGACCCACUUUACCCGGAACCAUGUAAGACUAUAAUGUGGGAAACUUUAUGGUCAAGGAUAUCAUUUUGGGUUUGGAUCUGGAAAAUGGGCUUAAGAGCUUAAGGAUUAACCUCUUAAUGAUUUGGUUUGGCAGCCAGCUGUGUACGCUGGGUGUACAAGGUGUAUGUUGCUCUUACGUGGCCAACAGGACUAUACCUGGUCAACUAACGUGUAUGUUGGGCGUACUCAGCUGGGUUGACUCGGUUGAAUUUUUGGAAUUUUGACUUUUACCAGAUUUUGACCAAUUGUGACCAAGGGGUAUUUUGGGUAUGUUGUAUUGUGUUUGAGAAUUGGUCAUUUGGAUGGAUAGGUGACACUUAGAGCCCAGAUUUAGAGUUAGGACCCCAUCAGCUAUUAAUCAGAUCGAAAGGUGAGUUUUCCUCACUAUACUUACGGGUCGAAGACACCACGGCCGGCCCAUUGGAUUGGAUAUUCUUUUAUGUGAUUGUAUGUUAUCGUGUUGUAUUGAUCUGUUAGAUCUAUAUCAUGAUAUAUAGGAUGAUGUUAUGUUUAGUGAUACGUAGAUCUGCUUGAUUGUCUGUUGAUUGAUUUUAUGUUUAUUUGUUAUAUGUGCAUAUAUUUUGAUUGGUGGUUGAGGCUUUACUUCUAUGUACAUGAGCCAACAGACCGGGGCCAUUGGGCCCGAGGGUAUUCCAACCUGAUGGUUGACUGGACCCGUUGUAUAGUGGCAUUCCAACCUGGGGUAUUCCAUCCUGAGGAUGACUGGACCCAGAGGUUGAUUGGGCCUGGGGUAUUUCAACCGAUGGUUGACUGGACCCAUAGUGCAAUGGCAUUCCAACCUGGGAUAUUCCAUCCCGAGGAUGACUGGACUCGGAGGUUGAUUGGGGUUGGGGUAUUCCAGCCCGAUGGUUGAUUGGACCCGACAUGUUGUUAUAUAUGUUAUUUGUUAUGUUUAUGUGGUGGUAUUUUAGGGGAACUCACUAAGGUUCGUGCUUACAGUUUUGGUUUAUGGUUUCAAGUACUUUAGAGGACCGUGGAAAGGCGAAGGCGUGACCGCACACAUCCUGAUUUUAUGUCAUUGAUCUUGGGAGACACUGGUUUUUAAAUAAUGUUUUGGAAACAAUGCUUUUGUAAACACCUUUAUUAGUAAAUGGGUUGUUUUGAAAUAAAUUUAAUUGUUUGAAAUUUUUUGGAUGUUAUACUUGGCUUCUUCUGUAUGCACCGUGCAGACCACGCGUAGACAUUAGACUUCGCAAACUGUUUUUUUUUCUUUCAAGACUAUAGACCUAAAAAUGUAUUUGCGUCCUCGGCACAGAUGUAGACCAGAGUUUUAAAACAUCUUCUAGACUAAAAAACACAUAUAUCUUUUUUUUUUUUAAACUUAGAUUUAUUCCAACUUUAUGUAUGAUAAACAAUUUGAAAAAAAAAAAAGUUACAAUACUUUAAGGAAAAAGGUUUGACGACAUAAUUAUGACCUUUGUGAUAAAUUUAUAAAUAAAGAUUUAAUUGCAAUAAUGGUCGUUGGAGUUAUUUAUAUAGAUACGAAAAAAUCCUAAUAUUGUCUUAUAAAUUUUGUGCCAAAUUUUAUAAAACAUUAUCUAAUGUAGUAUCAUUUAUUUCUUGAGAAAAAUAUUUAUGACCAAUUUUUAAUAGAUUUAAUUGAAAAAGUAAAAUGAAAAUUUUGAAAUUUUUUACUCAAGUUCAAAGUUUAUUUUCAUCCAUUUUAUGUCCUAAAUUUUUUUAUCUCUAAUUACAAUGUUUAUGUAUAAUUUUGCGACCAAAGUUGAUUGGUUUUUAUCAAAUAUAUAUGUUAAUUAGUACAAUUUUAUUUUCACUUUUAUAUAAUAAUACAUAAAAGUUGAUCUUCAUUUUUAUUUAUCUAUAAUAAAGUCACAAAAUUAUUGAAAAAUUCUUUUAAGUUUUUUUUUAACCAGUUUAAUUAAUUUUUAUUUAAUUCUAGCAGUCUGUAGAUGUUAAAAAACAAUCUUCUUCUUUCAAACUACAGACGUUUGGUCCACCUCUUCUACAGCAGAGGUCUGUAGAUGUGGUCCACAGACUGCAUAUAUUUUACCUCAAAAAAAAAAUCAAACAACGCCUUAAAUGUCUAAUAAUGUCACUAAUGGAAGAACCUGGAUGAUCUCUUAUGUUUGAGAUGUUACAUAUAUGCAAUUAGACAACAAUCUAUGUCCAUCCUACUGAUAUUUAUUAUUUAUAUACUCUAUAUUGAAAUUCUCUCUUUCCCCCAAAAAAAUUAAAUGAAGUUAUGGGUUCAAACAGAUAGAACCGAUUCAACAUCUAUAUCGUUCCAGUUUUAUCGGAUGUCCCCGAAGGGACACCGAUUCAAGUUGAUUUAAGGUCCGAAACAAAAAUAAAAGAUGAAUCCCUUCACAGUAAUUUUUUAAGUAAAAGAAGGUGGUGAUAUAUAUAUAUAUAUAUAUAUAUAUAUANNNNNNNNNNNNNNNNNNNNNNNNNNNNNNNNAUAUAUAUAAUGGAUCCUAACAAUUUGCCCUGCACCAUCAGCAUUUUGUCCCCUUUACUGACAUGGCCCUAGAAGUAAUAAGAACUCUUAGCUCAUUUUUCUAACAAAAUAAUCGCUUUGAAAUAUAAUCAAACGAUGAAUCAUGGAUGAGUCAUAUCAUUAGCAACACAAAUACAAUAAUGAUGCAAAAAAUGGGAAAAAGAAGGGAAUACAAGCUUGUUUAUGUUUUUAAAUUACGCAAAAACUGUUCCUUAACAUAUUAUUAACAGGACCAUUUAAAAAGUCAUAUCAAAGUUCCCACCAUUUUCAUCAAGGUCCUCGCAUGUGUUCCAAUUGCUUCCUGACAUCAAAUUCCAAAUUGCAAUAAAUGAUUUAUUUAAAUGUUAGGAUCGAUAGCAACACAAAUACAAUAAUGAUGCAAAAAAUGGGAAAAAGAAGNNNNNNNNNNNNNNNNNNNNNNNNNNNNNNNNNNNNNNNNNNNNNNNNNNNNNNNNNNNNNNNNNNNNNNNNNNNNNNNNNNNNNNNNNNNNNNNNNNNNGUAGCCCUAGUAUUGAGUUUUGGAGCCUGGGUGUUGACCCAGGGGUGAUACUGGGGUCUCCGUCUCUGCCAGGAGAUGCGGCGAGAUGCGCAACAGAAACCAGAGAUUAGAGUUGAGACGAUCCUCGGUUGGAUUGUAUUUUCUCGCAUGAGGAAAAGAGAAUUUUGUGACUUGCGUGCCCCUAGGCCGGGAUAGUGGCCACGGGGAGGAAGUUAGCGGGAUAUUUGGAUCAUGAUAUGGGUGACCUUUGGAGGCUCAGCUGUGGAGCCAAAAGCUGACCUGGUGCUCAGUCUCGAGGAGAGAUAUGAGAAAUGAGCUAGAGCUUAUCAUGAUGAUGUCUGAGGACACUUUAGAGCGAGCGAGCGAUUCAGACGCUCAAAGACAUGCUUCGGACAUGUGUAUUAGAUCUCGGAGGGAGUUGCGACACGUAUUUAUCUUUGGUUGAGUUAUCCUAUAUCAACAGCCAUCAUUAGUGCACUAGUAUGCCACCCUUUGAGCUGUUGUAUGGGAGAAGGUGUCGGACCCUCAUUUGCUGGGGAGAGGUAGCGCAUGGACCCGAGAGUCCUUGCGAGCAGAUCCAGAGCAUGUGCGAUACAUGGAGUAGUGACAAGGUUGAUAAGUGUAUUUCCCUGGGUAAGGGAAGAGAAAAGUAUGUAACCCCGAGGGGGGGGGGGGAAGGGUUAGUUCACGGAAGUGAAAGUAGUAGUGAGAAUGGAAGAUUUGGAGUAUGGUGGUUGAACACUGUGUCCGUGACAGUGGUAUGGAAUGACAUAAUGAUGGGAUGUCUGUUGAGGACGUGGAAGGGAUUCCGUGGGUGUAGAGCCAAGAGUCUCAGGUUGGAUGCAGAGAUGGAGUCUGGGACUCCUAGCUUGAUUCUGAUCAAGGGUUGCGUGCGUUGUGGUGGUUCUUCCUGGGGAUGUUAGAAAUGUCGUCAGUGUGACGGGUUUUUCUUAAACCGAGGGUGCGAAGGUUGGUGUAGCAUGUGUGUGUGAUUGCAAGAAGAGGACUCGUGGGAGUUGCUCUGGGAUUGAAGAGUGUGUCUUUCUGUCACCAUGGAAUGGAUAGAGUGGGAUUCGGAUCGGGGAUCCGGUGGUUCGUGAUUAUAUCUAGCUCGUAGGGGGUCGAGCGAUUGUUGAGAUUUGGAGCAGUGAUGCAUCUCGGGGAAUUCUCGAUUGUUGAGUGUGAUUAUCAGAGGGUACAACCGGUGCCCAGUUCGAGACGGUGGUCAGGACACCGUAAGGAAAGGGAAAGUGUGUUCGAGUUUCGAUGGGUAUGCCUUGUGAGACCUGGUCCGAUUAAGGCUAGGUGGCACGUGUGGGAGUAUUUCUGGAGUUGAGUUGCUGUAGGCUUCGAGGACGAAGCCUAAUUUUAGUGGGGGAGAAUUGUAACAUCUCGAAAUAUCAAGAGUAGAGUGAAGGGCUAAAAGAGUAAAUGGGGAAAGAGCAACUCGGCGAGUCCAUGUGUGGACUCGGCGAGUAGAGUCGCGACUGGGUCGCGUGUUAAGUAGCCGACUCGGCGAGUCAAUGAGAUGGACUCGGCGAGUAGGCGCUGAGUGGAGAAAACCCUAAUUCUCGGGGUUGAGCCCUAUUUAAAGAUCAUUAUGUCUCCUUCUCAGCCUCUCUAUCACCCCUUGAGUCCCAGAAACCCUAAUUUCGAGGAGAAACACCAUGGUUGAGCAAAUUGGAGCUUGGAGAGGUGAUUGUUGAAGAGAUCCUAGAAAAGAAGAGGUUUGGAGCAAGGGGCUUUGCUUGGAAUUGAGUUUCAUUGCAGUUGGGGCGUCCUCUUGGAGGUAAUAUCUCGUUUUUGAGCUGCUAUUUCUUUAAUGCAUCAUUUUGGGGGUGUUAGAGACCAUAUCCUUGGAUGUAUUGGAGUCUAGAGGUUAGAUCUGAGGUUGCUACCUCAGAUCUGGAAGGGAGAAGGAUCAGAGAGCAUGAAAGUCCCUGUUUGUGAGUGAUUGAUGGAGCUAUUUUGUCCCAAACCCAAACCCUAGAGUGAAAAUGCAUAGAUCUCUUUGGAUUCACGUAAAGUUUGCCACUUUACGUGAUGGAUGAGUGGUAGGAGGCUAGAUCUAUGUUUUGGAGCAAUUGCAUGGCCUGGAAUGCUUCUGAAUGGAUUCAGACCGGUGGUACUCGGCGAGUCACAUGAGUGUACUCGACGAGUUGCAUGAAGAUGGCCUGGAACUCGGCGAGUUGUANNNNNNNNNNNNNNNNNNNNNNNNNNNNNNNNNNNNNNNNNNNNNNNNNNNNNNNNNNNNNNNNNNNNNNNNNNNNNNNNNNNNNNNNNNNNNNNNNNNNNNNNNNNNNNNNNNNNNNNNNNNNNNNNNNNNNNNNNNNNNNNNNNNNNNNNNNNNNNNNNNNNNNNNNNNNNNNNNNNNNNNNNNNNNNNNNNNNNNNNNNNNNNNNNNNNNNNNNNNNNNNNNNNNNNNNNNNNNNNNNNNNNNNNNNNNNNNNNNNNNNNNNNNNNNNNNNNNNNNNNNNNNNNNNNGUUGACCGUUGACUUUUAGGGUUUGGUCAGCGAUGUGGCCUUUGGGCCAAGAGAGGGGUAGAAUAGUCUUUUACCCUUAAGAGGGUGCAUUGAGAGGAUUGAUUCUAGUCUCGAGAGUUAUAGUCAUGAGAGUUUUUGCCUUACGUGUUAGGCGGUGGCGAGUUCGAGAUUCAAGUGUGGAGAUAUCUGCUUUCUGCUUGCCAGGUGAGUCUUCUCACUAUACUUUACCUUGAGUAGGUAACCAGAGUUAUGUGACAGAGUAUUUGUAUGCUAUGUAUGUUAUGUGUUGUACUGCAUAUUUCUAUGUGAUUUAUGCUGUGCAUGUUUGCAGAGUUGGAACCGAUGGGUUCCUAGAGUUAGAACCAGAAGGUUCACAGAGUUAGAACCUGAGGGUUCACAGAGUUUGGGUGCACGGACCCAUAGAGGUAUAGCCUCGCGUGGCUUAUAUGUGUUAUGUGUGUGGUAUUUUGGGAAACUCACUAAGCUUCGUGCUUACAGUGUUUGUGUGAUGUUUUGCAGGUUUCUUUCGGUAUCACGGGACGGCACUGGCUUGAUUGUACACACCAGAGAAAGAGUUAUGUUUUGGAGGAUCCUGGUUUUCUAUGCAAGUGAAAAUGGAGUUAUGUUUUGUAAUCCGAUUAUGAAUGAGAUUCUAAACAAGUGUUUCUAAGAAUAAAAUGAUUAUUUUAAAUGAAAAAUUGUUUUAAAAUUUUUGGUGUUACAAAUAACAAUUUAGUGUGCUCAGUGUGCUCAAUUUUUGCUUAAAUAGGAAAUGGUUAGUUUAAUUUUAUUUAACAUUGUAUUAUUAAUAGUAUUUAAAAUGAAUUUGAUCAUAAAAUGAAACAUUCUACUAUUGAUAUUAACCAUGUAGUUUUAUGUGCUAUGAAUAAGUAAAGACAAUUAAAUUUUUUUGGGCCUUCAACAUGUGAAGGUGGAAAAAUAGAAUGUGAAGAGUAGUGUUAUAUUUUUUGAACUCAACUAUUUAAAUUUUUUACAAUUUUUGAAAAUUUACCUGUAACUCGAUUUCUAUUGCUACAGGGGCAAAAGGGAAGAAGAGAGUGAUUCGCUUAUAAAUGUGUGUUUAAAUAUAUCGUAUUAGUAAUCCUAUAUUUAUGGCAGACAAUGGAAAACAAGAGAAAUCAUAUGUUGAAAAGCCUCUAAAGAUCUAAAUUCCAUCAACUCUAAAAAAGAAACUUGUCGAUGUCGUCAAGAAGAUUAUGUAGGAAGUUGUAAUCAUCGUUUGGGUUGUCUUAAGAACAAGAUUGCUUAUUUUUUUUUACUCAUAUCAUUAAGUGUAAAUUUGGAUUAGUACAGAGUUGGGAUUUAGAUUUCCAGUUACUUACUUAUGGUAUUAUAAUCGCUUAAAUUACUUUGUAGAAUCUUUGGGUAUACCAAGUUUUAUACCGGAUUUUGUUUGUGUUUUAUGUGCUUUAUAUGUGCAUGUUGGUGUAGCAUUUUUUUACAAGUUUUUUUAAGAAAUGCCUGUGGAUCGUGCUUAGCACAACCCAUACACCUACCUAUUAUGAUAGAAAUGAAUUGAUAUCUUUACAUAUUUAAACUUUCAUUUCUAUAUUGUGUACUGGGCUCUCUAGAUGGUAAAGCAAGAAGAGAAUAACCGACUUCUUUUAAUCUUUCUUCAUGACGAGUUGGAGAGAAAAUUUUCAGUCAUUUAGAAAUUCAAAUGAUGAGGUAUAUUUUACUCUCAACAUAUUACGAUAUUUUGUUUAAGCAUAGUUAUAAUUAUAUAUGUUUUGUUUAGGAUAACAAUCCAAGUCAAAGUUAUGAAAAUGAAGAUAUAUCAGAAUUCUCAUAAAGUAUCACAUCUUAUUUUUAUAGUUAAUUAUAUAAGUUUUAUAUUUUUAUAUUCGAAGAAUUUCGUAUAUACCCCUUUAUAAUUAUUUAUUGGAAUUUAUAUCAGUAUAAUUUUAACAAAAUUUAGAAUAUUCAUAUUAAAAAUUGGAAUACCCAUAACACCCGUACUUUUAUUUUUUCUUCAAAUUCGUUGAGGAAACUUUAGCCAACAACAUAUAUAAACGAAAUCUUUGUCAAACACCUACCAUAGUUAUCUAUUAGGAACAUGAAAAUUUACAAACGUAAUCUAACCUUUCUCAUAAAAAUCAUAUAAAAUGGGGAUUUGAUUUCCCACUCAUCUUUGUUUUAUUAUAUAAAAUAGGUAAUCAAUUCAAUAUGAAAUGGGGAUUUGAUUUCCCACAUUGAUUUUUUUUUAAAGAGAAUGGUGCUUUUUUUUUUUUUUUUUAAACCCCGUAUAAAUUCAAACAAAAAUGGCCUUUCCUAGUUCCUUCUCGAGAAUACCACUUUUUCAAUCACUCCUCGUUGGCAUUACCAGACAACCAUCUUCUUGAAAGGGUUAGUCAACUCAACCAAAUUCACAUAAACUUUUAGGCAACAAAGAUCCGAAUAGGAGAUCCUUCAAGCAUUAACCUUCAAUGGCCUCUUCUUCGAUUGCAUCCAUUCAGAAAAGCUUUACAUAUGAUGUAUUUUUGAGUUUUAGAGGUGAAGACACACGCACCAAUUUCAUCGAUCAUCUUUAUGAAGCUCUUCAGCAGCAAGGCAUUUAUACUUACAAGGAUGAUGAGGCAAUUAGAAAAGGGAAAAGGAUCAGUGAUGAGCUCAUCAGUUCCAUUAAAGACUCAAAAUUCUAUAUCAUUGUUUUCUCCAAGAACUAUGCAUCUUCAGCUUGGUGCUUGGAUGAGCUUGUGAUGAUAAUGGGGUGUCACAAGACGACUGAGCAUACUGCAUACCCCAUCUUCUAUGAUGUGGAACCGACAGAGGUCCGGAAACAAAGCGGGGCAGUCGGAAAAGCUUUUGUUAAACAUGAAAAUGAUGAAGCUGCUGGGAAAUGGAAAGAGGCUCUAAAAGAAACCGCAGAUCUGGCUGGAUGGGAGUUGAAGAACACUGCAAAUGGGUAAUUCCUUACUUCAUCGAUCAUAUCUUUGUAUAAUUAUUCUUUAAUUUUGAUCACAAGAUCCCGUUUUGGUCGAUAUAGUUUGGACCGGGUUGUUAUACCUGACCCGAUUUUGACCUGCCGGGACCCCUUUUUUCUUAUCAAUUUUAACCAAACUUACGACUUACGAAUAAUUCCUAAUCAUGUCCAUUGCAACUCAGUUUCCAAUUUCNUGUCCAUUGCAGUUUCCAAUUUCAAUUUUCUAAUAAUUUCUCAAAAGAGGUCUCUGUUUAUAUUGUUUUCCAUAAUUCAACCUUAAGGAAAAAAUAAGUUAUUUGAGCUUAUCUAUUAGUUUAAUUUCCAAUCUGCACGGUUAUCACUAUUCUAUUAUCAUAUCUCUACAAUAUUCCUUCAUUUUGUUUGUUAGUAAUCUAUGUCCCAAAAGGUCAUCCAAGAUAUCUCAUGUUGUUGUAUGGUUAUGUUAUUAUUUCAUAUACUUUGUAUUUUGUUAUAGUUCACGUGGGAUUUUGAGCAAACUAACUGAAUCUUCUUUAAUAUAUAGGCAUGAAGCCAAACUCAUCCAAAAAGUUAUUGAAGAAAUUUCACUACAGUUACGUUCCAUUGAUUUCAAUGCUGAUGAAAAACUAAUAGGCAUGGAGACCAGGGUAAAGGAUGCUGUAUCAUCUUUAGAAAUUGGUACCGAUGAUGUUCGUGUAAUCGGUAUCAAGGGGAUGGGAGGUGUUGGGAAGACAACUUUGGCUAGAGUGGUUUUUGAUCAAAUAUCCUUUCAGUUUGAAGCUAAAAGCUUUGUUGAGAAUGUCAGGGAAAAUUCAAAUACUUCUUUGUGUGGUUUGAAAUCAUUGCAAAAUCAAGUCCUUAAAGAUGUCUUAUUUGAUCAAGGCAAUGUGAAUAGUGUGCAUGAUGGGAAAAUCAUGAUGAAGAAGAUGCGUAAUAAAAAGACUCUUCUUGUUCUAGAUGAUGUGGACCAUAUAGACCAGCUUGAGGCGUUAGCUGGUGAUCUUAAUUGGUUCAAACCGGGAAGUAGAAUUAUCAUUACAACAAGAGAUGAGCAGGUGCUCGUGGCACACCGGGUGAAGUUGAUUCUUGAUGUCAAUCUGUUAUCAGAGGAGGAAGCGAUUUGCCUCUUCAGUAGGUAUGCAUUUGGGGGAGAGAUUCCAAUUCAAGGGUAUGAAGAUCUAUCGGAACAAGUUGUACGGUAUGCUGCUGGUCUUCCCUUAACGAUAAAAGUUUUGGGUUCAUUUCUUUGUGGUAAAAAUGAGAGUGAAUGGAUAGAUGCACUAGAAAGAUUGAAAACAAUUCCGUUAAAGGAAACUCUUCAGAAAUUGGAAUUAAGCUACAUCAGUCUAGAGGAAGAUUACAAGGAAAUAUUCCUAAAUGUUGCAUGCUUACUGAAACGGUGGUCGAAACCCGUGGUAAUUGAAGCGCUUGAAAGUUGUGGAUUUCAUGCCACAAAUGGUUUAAAAGUUCUUGAGCAAAAAUCUCUUAUAACUAUUACUAGAAAACCUUUUGAGUUUGUGCACAUGCAUGACCAUAUUGAAGAAAUGGGCAGAAAUAUUGUUCGUCGUUUGCACCCAGAUAAGCCUCAGAAACACAGCCGAUUGUGGAUUGAUGAUGAAAUUAAAGAUAUAUUGGCUAAUGACUUGGUAAGGUCAAGUUUAUUUGUAAGUUUUAUGAAACUAGCCUAUUAUGCAUUUCUUAUGACACAAGUUUCAUGGUGACUGCUUUUGCAUUACAGGGUACUAAAGCAACAAGAUACAUACAAUUCCAGUUAAUGGGAGGCAAUUUUGAAAUGGUUAUGAAGGGUCUUAGAAAGAUGAAGGAACUUAGAUUUCUUCACAUAUCUCGGAAUACAAGAUAUAAUUUUGCGGAAGAAAGGAAAUAUGCUAAUGUCAGCCAAUACUUUCCAAAUGCUUUACAAUAUCUUUGUUGUAAGGCGUAUCCUUUCAAGUCUUUACCCCCAACAUUUCAAGCAAAUAAUCUUGUUGCCCUUAAGAUGGCUCAAAGUGAAAUAGUACAACUUUGGGAAGGGGGAGAAAGAAAGGUAGAAUUAUGGUUGAUUGAUUAUUUUACAAGAUUCAUCAUGAUGCUAUACAUCCAUUGCUUUGUAAUUUAACCAAUAUUGAUCUUGUUCAUUUGUUUAUGUUAGGUUCUUAACAAGCUCAAGAGUCUUGACCUCGGUCAUUCAAAGUUGACGACCCUUGAUCUUGAGCUUAGUCCAAAUCUCGAGACGUUAUCUCUAAGUGGAUGUCGUGACUUGGUACAACUUCACAUGCUCAAUGGAUGUCGUCAGCUCAAAUCCAUCGACCUCAGUUAUUCAAAGUUGACGACACUUGAUCUUGGGUCUAGUCCAAAUCUCGAGGUGUUGUCUCUAAAUGGAUGUUAUGACUUGGUUCAACUUCACAUGCUUAAUGGAUGUCGAAAGCUCAAAGCCAUCGACCUCAGUGAGUCAAAGUUGAAGACAAUCGACCUUCGCCCAGCUGUGAACCUCGAGCUCUUACAUCUUAAAGGCUGCAAUGCUUUGGUAAAACUUUGCUUACCAAAUGGAUGUCUAAAGCUCAUAUCUGUUAACCUCAGUGGUUCUAAAUUGAAGACCAUUGACCUUCAUUCAUGUGUGAAUCUCAAGUUGUUAGAUCUUGAAGACUGCAAUGCUUUGGUAGAACUUCACAUGCCUGGUAGAUGUCUGAAUCUCAGAUCCCUGACACUCACUAAUUCACAGUUGAGGAACGUAGACAUUGGGUGGACUCCGAAUCUGGAGGAUUUAGAUCUUAACAAUUCUUAUGAUUUGGAAGACCUUCACAUGGCUGAUAAAUGUCUAAAGCUCACAUCCCUCAACAUUAGUCAUUCAAAGUUGAAAACCCUUGACCUUGGGUUGACUCCAAAUCUGAAGAAGUUAGAUCUAAAAGAAUGUAAGAAUCUGGUACAGCUUCAUGUUCCCAUUGGAUGUCUAGAAAAUCUUGUCUACUUGAACUUAAGAGGCUGUUUGGGGUUUACAUCUUUUAUGGUUGACAAAAGGAAUGUUGCUUCUAGUAGAAGGGAUGAAUCACUUGAGAUUGGUCCUUCAGCUGAGUCACAUCUGAUUGCCAAGUCCCUUGAAAGAUGUCCACUUCACCCGGACAAUACUUUGCGACAGUUUCAGUUUGAAUGCUUUUACAUUGAUGAUCCCUCAGUGACUAGAAAUCUUGAGAAGCUUAUUUCUGAAGGUCUGUGUGCUUGCACAAACCUUGAGACACUUUCAGAAAGCAUUUUUGGGUUACGAUGUUUAAGAAUGCUUAAACUCGAAGGCUAUCCGGAGGCUCCUAAGGACCUUGACCGGGUAGAAUGUCUAGAAGAGCUAAGUUUUUCUAGGACAAAUAUGAAACAUCUUCCGGAUAGCAUUUGUAUGUUGAAACAUCUGGAAAUUCUUCAACUUAAAGAUUGUUGGAGUCUUGAGAAGUUACCCGAGGAUCUUGGUCGAUUAGAAUAUUUAGAGACUCUAUAUUUGUCGAAUGCAAAGAUCGAACAUCUUCCAGAUAGCAUUUGUAUGUUGAAACAUCUGAGAACACUCACUCUAUUUCGUUGUUGUUCACUUAAGACAUUACCAAAGGAUCUUGGCAAAUUAGAACAUUUGGCAUGGCUAAAUCUGUCAUCCUUGAUCAUCAAACAUCUUCCGGAUACCAUUUGUAUGUUGAAAUAUCUGGAAUGUCUCAGACUUGAUGAUUGCAAAUUACUUGAGAAAUUACCGGAGGAUCUUGACCAAUUAGAACGUUUAGAGCAGCUAGACCUAGGGGAGUGNNNNNNNNNNNNNNNNNNNNNNNNNNNNNNNNNNNNNNNNNNNNNNNNNNNNNNNNNNNNNNNNNNNNNNNNNNNNNNNNNNNNNNNNNNNNNNNNNNNNAACUCACCGAGUCAUCCCUUGACUCACCGAUUCUCGACUCAUCCACGGAAUAUCAGGACUCUUCGACAAGACUCGCCGAGUCCAAGAAUAGACUCGCCGAGUCUAAGGCUAUCUUCAACCUACUCACCGAGUUGUUCANNNNNNNNNNNNNNNNNNNNNNNNNNNNNNNNNNNNNNACUCGCCGAGUUCCAGGCCAUCUUCAUCCAACUCGUCGAGUACACCCAUGUGACUCGCCGAGUACCACCGGUCUGAAUCCAUUCAGAAGCAUUCCAGGCCAUGCAAUUGCUCCAAAACAUAGAUCUAGCCUCCUACCACUCAUCCAUCACGUAAAGUGGCAAACUUUACGUGAAUCCAAAGAGAUCUAUGCAUUUUCACUCUAGGGUUUGGGUUUGGGACAAAAUAGCUCCAUCAAUCACUCACAAACAGGGACUUUCAUGCUCUCUGAUCCUUCUCCCUUCCAGAUCUGAGGUAGCAACCUCAGAUCUAACCUCUAGACUCCAAUACAUCCAAGGAUAUGGUCUCUAACACCCCCAAAAUGAUGCAUUAAAGAAAUAGCAGCUCAAAAACGAGAUAUUACCUCCAAGAGGACGCCCCAACUGCAAUGAAACUCAAUUCCAAGCAAAGCCCCUUGCUCCAAACCUCUUCUUUUCUAGGAUCUCUUCAACAAUCACCUCUCCAAGCUCCAAUUUGCUCAACCAUGGUGUUUCUCCUCGAAAUUAGGGUUUCUGGGACUCAAGGGUUGAUAGAGAGGCUGAGAAUGAGACAUAAUGAUCUUUAAAUAGGGCUCAACCCCGAGAAUUAGGGUUUACUCCGCUCAGCGCCUACUCGCCAAGUCCAUCUCAUUGACUCGCCGAGUCGGCUACUUAACACGCGACCCAGUCGCGACUCUACUCGCCGAGUCCACACAUGGACUCACCGAGUUGCUCUUUCCCCAUUUACUCUUUUAGCCCUUCACUCUACUCUUGAUAUUUCGGGAUGUUACAUUAUUCAUGGAGUUUAUUAACUUAUUCUAUAUAUGCGGAAGCUUUCAAGACCAGAUCUUAAACUCUCGAAUUGGAUAAAAGAAAAUAGGUGAAGGAGAUUGUGUACCUGCUUCGAUUGAAGAUUUUGGAUCUGAAGAACAAGCUUGGUUUUCCAGUUGAUCUCAAGACAACUCUAAGAACCCUUUGCACUCAAGAAAAACGAAUUUGUGAAUUAAUAUCGUCCACAUUGAUUUGCUCCUCAUCACAUAUAUUUAUAGAUGGAGAUAAACCCUAAUGUGAGAGAUGGAAGGGAUCUUGAGGAUCUUGAGUCAAACCGGGAACUCAAGCCACAAAUGGUAAGUGAAUAUCGGUCCAUCAACAAUCUUAUACACUUGCCAUAAUAUUUGGAUUUAAAUGAUAACAAUAUAUAUGUUCAUUUAUAGAAUGGUCCCAUGAUUUUCUAACAAUCUCCCACUGGACCAUGAAUAUAUAAAUGUACAUAUAACCAUAUUAGCGUUUUAAUGUAUGAUAUCAUGAUAUUGGUACCCUUAAACAAUCUUCUCCAUUAAUCAUAACUGUAUAGGAUCAAUGCGGUCUUUGUUACAAUUUACGUAACUAAACCAUCAAUGGUCACAUAUAUAAGUAUAACUAACGACAUAAAUUAAACAUGAUGCGUGGUCACAAAAUCGAAAUUGAUUUCCGACGAGUUCCUCUUUAACUUGAAGUGAGAUCAAACUUCAAAUAAGUGCAACUAAUAAUGAAAUUUACCGAAUUCGUAAGUUUGUAAAUAAAAAACAUAAUUGUUCUUAAACCAAAAUAAAGCACCCAAAAAUAAAUUGUAAAACUCCCACUAAAACAAAAUAUCAUCAAUAUUUAUCACACCCAUGUGUGUAGUAUGCUCAUGAAAGACCUUGGGAGGUAAUCCCUUUGUGAGCGGAUCCGCUAUCAUGGAGUUUGUCCCGAUGUGCUCUAUUGCGAUUUUUCCAUUUUGCACUCUUUCUUUUACAAUAAGAUACUUAAUGUCAAUAUGCCUUGACUUUGUGGAACUUCUGUUGUUAUUGGAAUACAACACUGCUGACUUAUUGUCACAAUACAACUUUAGUGGUCUUUCAAUACCAAUAAUACGCAGCCCCGUGACUAAGUUCCGCAGCCAUAUUGCAUGAUCUGAUGCCUCAAAACAUGCUACAAAUUUUGCCGCCAUGGUGGAAAAAGUUACCAAAGUUUGUUUAGCACUCUUCCAUGAAAUAGCUCCUCCUGCUAAUAAGUAAAUGUAGCCUGAUGUGGAUCGAUAACUGUCUUGGCAUCCAGCAAAAUCAGAAUCAGAAUACCCAAUGAUCUCCAAAACAUCUGAUUUCCUAUAUGUGAGCAUGUAGUCUUUUGUUCUCUGUAGAUAUCUCAAAACCCGUUUGGCUGCUUUCCAAUGGUCCAUACCUGGGUUGCUUAGAUAUCUCCCCAACAUCCCUACUAUGAAAGAUAUGUCGGGACAUGUACACACUUUCAAGGAUCUUUUCAAUAUAGCUCUUUUGUGAUAAUCCUAGAAUUCCACGAGAUCUGUCUCGUUGAAUUUGGAUUCCUAAUACAAAUGAGGCUUCCCCAAGAUCUUUCAUUUCAAAAUGCUUCGAAAGAAAUUUCUUGGUCUCAUAUAAGACCCCUAAAUCAUUGGUGGCAAGUAAUAUAUCAUCAACAUACAAGACCAGAAAAAUAUAUUUACUCCCAUUGAACUUGUGAUAUACACAAUCAUCUACUAUAUUUGCCUCAAAACCAAAUGAGACAAUUAUCUGAUGAAACUUGUGGUACCACUGGCGGGAGGCUUGCUUGAGUCCAUAGAUAGAUUUAUUUAGUUUGCAAACCAUUUCCUUUGAUUCUUUCGAUACGAAGUUUUCUGGUUGCACCAUAUAUAUAGUUUCAUUAAUGUCACCAUUGAGAAAUGCUGUCUUAACAUCCAUCUGAUGUAACUCAAGAUUGUAAUGUGCAACUAGUGCCAUGAUCAACCUAAAAGAGUCUUUUGUUGAAACUGGAGAAAAUGUCUCUUUAAAAUCAAUUCCUUCCUUUUGAGUAUAGCCCUUAGCUACAAGACGUGCCUUAUGUCUUUCCACAUUACCUUUUGAAUCCCUUUUGGUCUUAAAAAUCCAUUUGCAACCAAUAGGCUUCGUACCUUCAGGUAAUGGAACAAGAUCCCAAACUUUAUUGUCUUGCAUGGACUUAUACUCCUCGUUCAUGGCAUCAAUCCACUUUUGAGAAUUUGAACUUUGCAUGGCCUGAGAGAAGUUGAUUGGAUCAUUUUCAAUCAUUCCAUCUGGUUCUUCAUUUUCUUGGAGAUAUACAUGGAAAUCCGAAGGGAUUGCACUUCUCCUUUCUCUAGUGGAUCUCCUAAGUUGAGGUUGUUGAGGUUGUUCAUUAUGAACAGGAGAGUGAAUAACAUUGUCUUGUUGAGGUUCCUGAAUUACUUCUUCUCCGACAGGCACAUUAAUUUGUGUAUUGUCAAAAGUAACAGUAGGAAUCGAGAUUGAUUCCUCCUCAAAGACAAUGUCUCUAACCUUAUUUCUCCCCCCAAACUCAACAUCCUCAAAAAACGUUGCAGUUCCUGUUUCAAAAAUUGAUUUUGUUGCAGGAUCAUAAAACUUAUAACCCCUGGAUCGUUCAGAAUAGCCAAUGAAGUAGCUGCUAACGGUUUUGGAGUCCAAUUUCUUUUCAUUCGGCCUAUAAGGCCUUGCCUCAGCUGGACAUCCCCAGAUACGAAGAUGAGUUAAACAAGGCUUUUUCCCUGUCCAAAGCUCAUAAGGUGUUUUAACAGCUGCUUUAGUUGGUACUCUAUUAAGAAUGUAAGCUGCAGUCUUAAGUGCUUCACCCCAGAGUGGCUCUGGUAAAGUAGAAUGACUUAUCAUACUCCUUACCAUAUCCUUAAGAGUUCUGUUGCGUCUUUCAGAUACACCAUUCAUGCUAGGCGAACCUGGCAUUGUGUAUUGUGGGACGAUUCCACAUUCCUCUAGGAAUUUAGCAAAAGGUCCUGGACGUUGUUCACCUGAUCCGUCAUAUCUGCCAUAGUACUCACCACCACGGUCAGAUCUUACACAUUUAAUCUUUUUAUUAAGUUGGUUCUCAACUUCAAGUUUAAAAGAUUUAAACACUUCCAGUGACUGAGAUUUUUCAUGAAUAAGAUAUAGAUACCCAUAACGUGAGUAAUCGUCUAUGAAUGAUAUAAAAUAUUGUUGACCAUUCCAUGAAGCCGAAGGGAAUGGUCCACAAAUAUCUGUAUGUAUCAAUUCUAAGACAUCUGAAGACCUAGUGGCAUCUAAUCUUUUGGUUUUUGUCUGUUUUCCCUUGAUGCAUUCAACACAAAUUUUUAAAUCUGUGAAGUUGAGGUUACUUAACACUCCAUCUGACACAAGCCUAUCAAUUCUCAUUUUUGAGAUAUGGCCUAAGCGUUUGUGCCAUAAUGUUGCUGAAUUUUCAUUAUUUAAUUUUCGCUUAGUACCACGUGAAUCCACGUGCAAGGUUUCAUUAUAUGAAGUAACAAUAUCAAGCAUAUAUAACUUAUCACAAUACGUUAGAGAACCAGUACCGAUAACAUUUGAAUUUAAAGACAAACUAAAUUCACCAUUUCCAAAAGAACAAUAAUAACCAGAUUUAUCCAAUUUAGAAACAGAAACCAAAUUGCGUCUAAAAGACGGUACAAUGCAAGUGUCUUGAAAAUCCAAAUAAAAGCCAGUAUCUAGUAAUAAACGAAAUGUGCCAAUUGCUUUGACUUCAACCUGCUUUCCAUCACCCACAUAGAUAUAUCUUUCAACAUCAUUUGGUUUUCGGUAGUUCAGGCAACCCUGCAUAGAAACACUUAUGUGAGUAGUAGCACCAGAAUCUAUCCACCAAGUAUUUCUAGGUACAGAAACUAAAUUAACCUCAGAACAGACCAAAGCACGGAUUAUACCUUUCUUAACUCGCCAAGCGUGGUAUUUUGGACAAUCCGGCUUCAAGUGACUAGGUUCUUGACAAAAGAAGCAUUUAGGAGGUCCUGAUUCCUUUUUCUUUUGAUCAUUGCCUAAAUGUUGUUUCUUUUGCACUGGUCCCUUAGUAGCAGCUUCUUUUCUCUUUCUUUUGCCCUUACCUUUAGAGGUACUAGCAAAAUGAGCACUUUCAGUUGUUUCCUGCUUCAUCCUUUCUUCUUCUUGCACACAAAAGGAAAUGAGCUCAUUAAGAGUCCAUUUAUCCCUUUGGCAGUUGUAACUGACCUUGAACUGAUUAAAUUGUGCAGGAAGAGAAAGCAAUACCAAAUGAACUAGAAAAUCAUCAGAAAUUUCUAGUUUCAACGCCUUAAGUUUUGAAGCAAGAUGAAACAUCUCCAUGAUGUGCUUCCUUAUGUUUCCUUUGCCUUUAUACUUCAUUGAAAUCAUCUUUUGCAAAAAAGUACUUGUUUCAGCCUUAUCAUUUUUUGCAAAACGUUGUUCAGUUUCAGCAAGAAAAUAUUUUGCAUUAAUAGACUGCUCAUUUGCACCUCUAAAGGCUUCUGGAACGCCGCGCUUAAUGAUCAUUAGACUCAUGCGAUUUGAGCGAUCCCAUUUUUCAGCAUCCCUUUUAUUUUCCACUGAACUUGUGGCAGUAAGGAUGGGUUGCUCAAUCCGAAGUGCAAGGUCAAGAUCCAUGCAGCCGAGAACUAACAUAAUGUUCUCUUUCCAUUCCUUAAAGUUAGUUCCAUUGAGAACUGGAAUGUGAUUCAAGUUGGAAGAUAUUAUACCACAAUUAGCAUUUGCUGUAUUUCAGAACAAAAUAUUAAUUAGUUUUUAUGCUCAUUAAACCAUAACUAUAAUCAAUAAAAUUCAAAUUAUGACAUCACAAGGUAUCAACACAACAUUAAUAUCAAGUCUUUGAACAACAAUAUUAACUUUUAAGAGAUAUCUUGUUUAAGUAGUAAAAAUAUUGACAAUAAAACAUGUUAAUCAAUGAGCCCCUCUUUGGAUUGACUAAUUAAUCACAUGAAACCCAAAAAUUAUCAUAUAUUUACCACUAUAUAUGUAUGUUUAUCCGACCAAAUAUUAACCUACCUUUGGGUCGAUUAAUAUCCGCAUUGACAAACACAUAAACCAUAAAAUUUAAUAAUAAUAUUUGACAAUAAUUCAUCCCGUUUAACAAGCCCCUCUUUGAAUUGACUUGUUAACGAUAUGUAACCAAAAAUAAUUGUCGCAUAUUCAUUAUCAUAUGCGUGUUUAUUCGACAAAAUAUAAACCUACCUUUGGGUCGAUUGGUAUCCGCAACAAUAAACACAUAAACCGUAAUAAAUAAGGUCAUAACUGAAUUUAUUGAUAACCAAAAUAUAUAAAAUAAUAUGAAAAUAAUUACAUAUUUAAUCAACUUUGCAUAUCAAAAGAUCAAACUAAUACGCAUAAUUUUGGCAAUAUUGUGUCAAAUAUCAUACAACUAAUCAAUGAUUUAAAAAUAAGAAGCAUAUGGCACAUUAACAAUGAAUUGAAAAUAUAUCAUCAUUAAUUAACUGUAGAACUAAAACUGUUGUUGGAACAAAUAACCACUACCAAGCAUACGAAUCCGUGAAUACAUAUAUAAAUAAAAUUUGACGAUGAUUAACAAUAGAGAACUAAUAAAUUUAUUUUGAUCAUCAAGCAACAAGGUACAAAAGAUAUCUCAAAUGAAAAUCUGAAGUCGAUACCUUAAAAAAAAUAUUAGUUUUACAUGCACGGAAUUAUCAUGAACCUUGAAUUUUAUUUACGUCAUAGUGUCAUAAAUAAAUGUAUCAAAAGAAAAUAUCACUCUUGAAACCCACGUGAUUAAACAAACACCUAAAAAACCCAAUUGGUUUCUUUCAAAUAAUAAAAUAAAUAAAUAAAUAAAUUCACUUAUCAAUGCCUAAAAAUAACAAAAUAUGAUGAUAGCUAUUAAUAAGAAAAAGAUACAUAUCGUACCUCCAAAUCAAUAAGAAAAUAGUAUUUGAGAUAUUUAAAGGCUGACAAAUCUUUUGAUUUGUCACAAUCAUGAAAGGCUUUGCAUUAUUUAUUGAUUUUGAUUUACUGGUUUUGUGUACGAAUAGGAGAUAGACCACACAUUUUCUUUGUUUAAUAAUAAAAUAUGAAUUCAAAAGAAAAAAAAAACUCAUUGAUAACUUAUGUCAGAGACGCAUAUACAAAAGUCAAAAAUAUGUAUUGUUCAGUAAAACUUUAAACCAAACAAGUUCUUGAAAUAUCGUAUGAACAAGAAACAUAUAUACACAACUUAUUUUUUCUCAUCGCACGUCAAGAAAUCACGUAAAGCAAUAUUCAAGCAACAAAGAGAAGAGAAGAUUUCUAUUAUCAAAUUCGAGAAGACUCUGAUACCAAUUGAUGGAGUUUAUUAACUUAUUCUAUAUAUGCGGAAGCUUUCAAGACCAGAUCUUAAACUCUCGAAAUUGAUAAAAGAAAAUAGGUGAAGGAGAUUGUGUACCUGCUUCCAUUGAAGAUUUUGGAUCUGAAGAACAAGUUUGGUUUUCCAGUUGAUCUCAAGACAACUCUAAGAACCCUUUGCACUCAAGAAAAACGAAUUUGUGAAUUAAUAUCGUCCACAUUGAUUUGCUCCUCAUCACAUAUAUUUAUAGAUGGAGAUAAACCCUAAUGUGAGAGAUGGAAGGGAUCUUGAGGAUCUUGAGUCAAACCGGGAACUCAAGCCACAAAUGGUAAGUGAAUAUCGGUCCAUCAACAAUCUUAUACACUUGCCAUAAUAUUUGGAUUUAAAUGAUAACAAUAUAUAUGUUCAUUUAUAGAAUGGUCCCACGAUUUUCUAACAAUAAGUAUUCUCAUCGAACACUACAUGCCCAACCUUGCGGCAAUAUAAUACUGCAUACCCAAUGUCCCUUUCCAUCUCAAUCUGAACCCACCUUGUUAGACAUAGGGAUAAGAUUUAGAACCGGAAAACCGGACCGAAACCGGAACCGAACCGGAACCGGACCCGUUAGAACCGGAAUAUAUAGAACCGGGUCCGGUUCCGGGUUUAAAAAUUGGCUUUAUCCGGGUUCCGGGUAAUCCGGGUUUGGGUCCAUUGGGUCCGGGUAAACCGGGUCUAAAAUCCGGAACCGGUUUUUGGAACCGGAACCACUUUUAGGGCCGGAACCACUUUUUGUGAAACGUUUACAAGAUGCAUAUCUUAUUCGUUUCAACUCCAAUUGACAUACGGUUUUUUCCAACAUGUAGUUUAGAGUUUGUACAUGAUUCUAGACUAUAAAUUUUUCAUUUUUAGUUUUAUAUUCAUUGACUUACAGUCCUCAAAAGUUGAGAUACCAAAGUUGAAAGUUUUUAGUUUUUUAGUUUUUUUGUAUUCGGUGAAAGUUUUAAAGCAUGCAUAUCUAAUUCGUUUGAAGUCGGAUUGACAUGUGGUUUUUUCCAACUUCUAGUUUACAGUUUGUACAUGAGUUUAGACUAUAAUUUUGUCAUUUUUGGUUUAACAUUCAAUGAUUUACAGUCCUCCGAAGUCGGGAUAUCAAAACUGAAAAUUUUCAACUUUUCAGCUAUUUGUUUUUGUACUUUGUAUUAUGUGAAAAUAUUAACACAAGUAUAUCUCAUUCGUUUAAAUUCGGAUUGACAUGCGGGUUUUUCCAGAGUGUAUUUUAGAGUUUGUACAUGAUUUUAGACUCUAAUUUUGUUAAUUGUGGUUUCGUAUUCAAUAAGUUACAGCCCCCCAAAGUGGGGAUAUCAAUAUGAAAAUUUUCAAAGUUCAACCCACUAAGUUGUAAGUAAUUACCAAAAAAUUCCGGUUUUUUCGGGUUUUCCGGGUCUAAACCCACUUUAUCCGGUUCCAACCUACCCACUUUGAAGUUUCCGGGUUUUCCGGUUCUAGACCCACUUUACCCGGAACCAUACCCGGAACCAAACCGGAACCGGUUCCUAUAUACCGAUCUGGUUUCCAGUUCUAUAAAAUCCCGUUAACCGGUUCCGGGUUUGGACCCACUUUCAUCCCUAGUCGGUGGUGGUACAUGGUGGUGGUGGUGGCCUUGUCUCAAUUUUCCGACCAAUGAAACUGCAUAGAACAUACACACACCUAAACACAUGGCAGCACACGCCCACAACCACCUUCCACGACGGCUGGUGGCGGCCAUGGAAGUUCUUCGCUGUUGUCGGCCAUCAAACACCCCACUGUAUGCACAAUAACGCAAAACGCACCCCCUUCGUCUUUUGCUCGAAAAAGAAACCCACACCCACCUGAACUCACGAAAAGUUGCAGCAACGAUUCACGGUGGUGGCUCGACUGGUCUCGGUGGUUUUGGCUAGAGCGAGUCGCCGACGAGACAUCGACCAAGAACAAUGGUGGCGCAAAAGCGGAAAGAAACAGAGACAGUGGAGAUUUGCGACCCAAAUAGCAAACUGCAGCAGCACAAUCCUUGAUCUCCCGACCAACCCGCAUCGACUCAUGGCUCCUUUGUCUUCAACGACGGCGGUGGUGAUCGAACUCGAACUCACAGCGGCGGUAGCUCCGGUCUGCGAAGUAGCGAUUGGGCGAAGCCUUAACUGACAGCGACUGAAGAAGGAGAAUGGGGGAAAAAGGACAGCCGUCUGGUGGUCGUUGGCUGAUCGGGAACGUGGUGGUGGCGGCGGCUCCGGUGAGGGGCAUAACGGGGGAUGACGGCUGCUACAUACGGGAGGGUUUAGGGUUUUGGUAACGAUGCUUUAAACGGGAAUGAAGGAGUCAUUGGGUUUAAAUCCCGCUCCACUCAAAACUUUGCUCAAUAAACAAGUUUAGUCCCUCCCCAUAGGAUCCUUUUCCAAUCAAAUCCUAUAUUUACCCAUUAAAUCAAAACAUUAAAAAUCCAUUACAACUUAGGUACAAUAUUUCCAAAACAGCCCCUUUGUCUCCAAAAUCACUUCAAAUAAAGUCCUAAAAGUUACAAUUUAUUCCCUGCCUUCAAUAAUACUUACAAAUUAAGUCCGGAUUUACACUUUUAGCCCCCAAUCUCUAAAAGUGUGACAAAUAGCUCCUCGAGAUCAACACUUUGCUAAAUAAUUAUUUGUUUUAGGGCUACGAGCCAUUCAUUAAUUAAUUUAUUUAUUUAAUAAAUAAACGGGGUUUUACAACUCUCCCCUACUUAAAUUAGAUUUCGUCCUCGAAAUCAUUCCUUACCAAUCCUUACAUACUAAGCCACUCUAGUAACAUAGUCAUCAACCUGGGCACGCCCUAGCCUCCACAGGGUAGCCAUGACCAAUCCUCGUAGAGCCCUAAAAUCCAUAGGUGAACGAAUUCCCCGCAGUAAGAUCACAUGUAUUCUGUGCGAAAUCUGUUGUCCUGAGACGGUCUGAAUCCCUGACAGACCACUCAUACCGAAUCAUUAUCGUCGAACCUAGUCCGCUUAUCUCUCAACUAUCUACUCAGCUUCUGGUAACUCGAGGUGCCCAUUAUAAAUCAGGGUCACAGACCCACUUAUCUUUGCAGAUCACUUAUACUUGGCUAAAACUCAGAUAAUCUCAUUGCAAGUGACUUACCACUUCCCAAUCAACCAGCUAUUACGUUUGUAUUUGCAACCUGAAAUGAAAAUACUAACACUGCCCAAAUGCUAAAAGUGCCCGAGCACUGAACUUCCUGAAGCAGUAUGCGCUGUUACAUAGCUGCUUACCAAAAGCUACCGAGACUUCCUGGGUCUCGACUCGCUUGCCAAUCCUCUGAAACACUGGGUUCCCAUCCGACUGCGGAGCCAAAGGACUCCCUACUUAGUCGCCUCACAUGACUUCUGAACGAAAUCCUUCUCUGGAACUAGUUGUCACUAGUUAUCAUGUCACUGAGGCUCUAAUGACCUUCUGGUCUAACCGAUCGGGUCCAUGCAUCGAAUCCUGUCAUCAUCACAUCCAAGACUAAAAGUGAUUGCUACCUAACCAAUGGUAGCCUUACAUCACAAAUGCCCUUAUGCAGUCCAUUACUUCCCUGAUCUCAUAACUGUAGUGACGUUCCUACAGUCUUAUCACUUGCUCAACCAGAUCUAAUCCAUCUGGGUAAUACCGAACUCCAAUAUGGGGAUUUCCAUAUCCUCACUGCCGCACCCGAACUGGUGGGUACUACUAUUCAUUUCGCGUUCUAACAACACGCUCAUGCCAUCUACCAACCUAGUGAAUGCUACGGCUACACCCGCAUACUUACAACAUUCUAUCACUAUCUAGCUGCUAGUGAAUGCUAUGGCUACACCCGCAGACUUACAACACUCCCCAAACUAUCUGACUUCUAGUGAAUGCUACGGCUACCCCCGUAGUCUUAUAACACUUUCCAUACUUGGUCGAACUAGCACUCGACCUAACACACAACUGAACUUGAGUCCUAACCGGAACUUAAAUCUGGUUCCCAACACUUGUUAUCACGUGACCCCAAUGUAUCAGUACCGUACCCAUGCCCGCGAUCAAAGCAUCACGGUAAACCACGAAAUCAUCUACACCCUCUGGCAGGGUGAGAAUCGGUGCCUCGCACAAUCGCUGCCUGAGAGUUUCGAAGGCUACCUGCUGCUCAGGCCUCCAACGAAAGGUCACCGACUUCUUGGUCAGUCGGGUCAAAGGAACCUCAAUCUCGGAGAAGUCCCGUAUAAAUCUCCGGUAAUAACCCACUAUACCCAGGGAAUUCCGAAUCUCAGAUGGAGACCUCGGAAUCUCCCAUUGCAUCACGGCCUCUAUCUUGGCCGAAUCAACUAGAAUACCCUUCAGGUUGACAAGGUGGCCAAGAGAUUGCACCUUGCGCAACCAGAACUCACAGUUGGAGAACUUUAUAAAAAGUCUCCCCCCCACUUAGGUUCGACUAAGUCUUCACAUUACUUGAGAAUUGAAGGGUUCCCAAUCCUUCUCGCUUUCUAAUAUCCCACUAAUGACAACCUGUGCCUGCGAAUUCUUACGUUUAAUCGCCGAUUAAACCUCAAGAUCUCCCAUCCUCAGAAGUCUCGAUGAGUACUCUUGAAAUCUGAUCCAGUCUGACACCUCAAUCCAUUUAACAUGCUAUCAAUUGAAGACCUUAAUCUUCACUCUAGCUGACGAAUCCUUGUUCCCACUGCCAAUCUUGCAGUACCACUGAACUCUAACCGAACACAGCCCGUGCGAAAACACAAUUCUCUUGAACAUCCGGUGACCAACCACUUAUGCAUCUAACACCCACGACUGACACUACCCUCUUCCUGUCACCAGUUCUGUCCUUGCAACGGUAGUGCCUUGAACUCCAAGGUUCAUCCAUAAAUAAUUACCGACCAUACCUAAACAAUGAUAGAACCUCUGAACGCUGACUUCAUUGGAGAACAAUCACUUCAACCCUGAUCGAGUAUCCUCUAAAUAAUACUCCUGCAUAGAUCCCGACAAAGAUCCAAAAUGAUAAUGGUAUGCACGGAAGCCACUCCGCAAGAUGCGUCCCUCUUUGGGUUCAUCAAGGACUUUUCGGCAUGCAGGAUGGCAUAUAUGAUCCUUGGUAACCCAAACACUAGCAGAAAAACCGACCCGAGGUCUGACUUAUCCAAACUCACUCACAAUUCCAACGCGAUACGUAUCCCCAACAUCCAUCUAGUAGCAAUAGAAGAUGACAUACUCGCAACGUCUGGGGAAAUACUGGUCACCUUCUGCUGAUAUGACCAAUCCUGCUACCCUGUAGCAGUCUAAACCCUUGGAGUGACAAACUCCCUUAUGUACUUUCUCAUACGCGCUGCACUGACUUAGACCCUGCUGGCCUUUCACCUGAUGUUCAGAAGUCAUAGGUCUCUUCCCGGGACCCUCUACUAUAAGCACCUGGCACGCACCUCUCUUUCCAGGGUGCUCCAAAUCAAUCUCGCAUCUGCAACUCUUGGAAAUCAUAUCCUUCAGGGUCUGACACCCUGUCACGCGUACUAGCUCGCUUGCCAAUGGCUAAGCUGCAACAACUGGAACAUCCUCUGUCCCCAAAUUGGGUCACAAACUCUUCCCUGAAGCUUCUUAGAUUCUCCAAGACUCUCGAUGAUUCGAGUAUGGAUUCUGUGCUUUCAGUAGUACGGGCCCAAUACUACCUUCCACACCUAUCCAUACUUUCCUCAGCCAUCCUCCCGGAUCCUCCAAGUCACUUCCUCAACCGGUAAACCCAAGUCUAACUGAGCCUCACUACUAACCCACUGAAACAUAUCCUAGGCUUUCCUAGGUUCCCGAACUCACCCAGUCCUCAGCUGCUGAAAGAUUCCCAGUAAUGUCAACUAGCUACCUUAUGAAUAUAGCCACAUGCAAUAGAGAUCAGAUAAUCCUUCAAGUAACAGACUCAUCCCUAUAAUGGUUAGACUCAAACGAGAGCUGCGCAAUAGGGUUAAAUCUAUCACUCUGAGAUUAUCCAGCCCGUGCCACAUGUGACUUAGCAUAUUCACUUAAUAGCUAACUCACGUUACUAAGAGUCCACAAAGCACAAAGCAAGCAGCAUUCAGACAAUGGAAAAUCUAACCAUCAUAUACCAAUCAAAUCAUUCUAUCUUCUAAUCAGGAAUCUGUACAUGAAAUUCAAAGGCUCAUACAAUCAGGCAUAACCUAAACAGGCUAUCCUAUCACUAACUGAUCAGUACUAGCAUGCAAGUCUACAAGCACAUACAAUAGGCAUAUAAGGCAUCCUCCUAGAUCCUUAGCCCUAAUCUAGCAUGCAGUUCUCAUAAGCAUAUCAUAUCAUAACAUCUCAUAACAUGUAUGGAUAUCUUGGGGAAAACAUACUUGAGCUCGGCUGAUUGCACGCAUCACACACCUUGUUCUUUUCAAAGUUCUUUUCUCUUUUCAAACUUCUUUUAUAAAAUGAUUUUAUUUUUGAAAAUUUUCAUACCAAGUCCUUAGUUUGAGUUCAGACACACCCAAGAGUGUGCCCGAAUCCCUCAAACCAAGGCUCUGAUACCAACUUGUAACAUCCCAAAAAUACAGGCCAAAAAUUUCAUUUUUAAAUACGUCAUUAUAAAACCAAUAGUGUAAUAAAACAUCUGUAAUAUCAUGUCAUGUCAAAACCAAAGUAGAAAUAAUCAAACGUGUUAUCAUAAAAUAAUAUCAAAGUGUAAUCCCAAAGAUCUCAUGUGCGGAAAACCAUAGUGUGAUGCACUGCGAUCAAGCCGGCUCCUUUCCUUUAAACACGAAGUACCUGAAACCAAAACUGAAAACCGUAAGCACAAAGCUUAGUGAGUUCCCCCAUCAUACCUCAUACCAAACAAUCACAUAACAUACAUAUAUUGUCAGGCAUAUCUGGGUGCCCGACCUACCCCUUCGGUCCUCUCGACCGGAUACAGACUAGUCUAUCUGGGAGCUGGCCUCCCCUUCGGUCCUCUCGACCGGAUACUGACUAGCAUACCUGGGUGCUGGUCUCCCCUUCGGUCCUCCCGACCGGAUACUGACAAGCAUGUCUGGGAGCUGGCCUCCCCUUCGGUCCUCUCGACCUGAUACUAACUAGUAUGUCUGGGAGCUGGCCUCCCAUUCGGUCCUCUCGACCGGAUACUGGGGACUAUUUCACCCCUACUACUACCACAUAACACAUAUAUCACAUAAUCUAUCUAUCAUGGCUGGGCAUGACCGCCCUUUCGGCCCUAUCGACCGGUAUUUUGGGGGACUAUCUCCCCCUACUGUCACUAGCACAUAGCAUCAUAUCAUACUAGCACAAUAACAUAUCACAGGUAGUAGCAACCCUAUAUGAAUAUCACAGAGACAAACAUCUAUCAUACAAUUCCUACUGGUGGGCCGACAUUGUGGCCGUAGACCCACCGCUACUGGAAGGUAACUCACCUCACACUGCUGAAGUCCCGAAGACACAAUCCCAUACUUGCUGAAGUCCCGCAGACUCGACCCCAGCUGCUGGCUGACAAAUUUCCGAACUGUCAACACCAAAAUAACACCCAAUUAAUAAUUGGGUCCCAAUACAUAACCAUAAGUACAUUCUUUGGGUAAUUACUACAUUACCCCUAGCUUGGCUUAUUCAAGCCCAAGGCCCAAUCCAUAGGCCCAAAGUCGACUAGGAAUCAAAGCCCAACACAUGGCCCAAUUUUCCAAAUUGGGCCUAGGCCUAUACAUNNNNNNNNNNNNNNNNNNNNNNNNNNNNNNNNNNNNNNNNNNNNNNNNNNNNNNNNNNNNNNNNNNNNNNNNNNNNNNNNNNNNNNNNNNNNNNNNNNNNNNNNNNNNNNNNNNNNNNNNNNNNNNNNNNNNNNNNNNNNNNNNNNNNNNNNNNNNNNNNNNNNNNNNNNNNNNNNNNNNNNNNNNNNNNNNNNNNNNNNNNNNNNNNNNNNNNNNNNNNNNNNNNNNNNNNNNNNNNNNNNNNNNNNNNNNNNNNNNNNNNNNNNNNNNNNNNNNNNNNNNNNNNNNNNNNNNNNNNNNNNNNNNNNNNNNNNNNNNNNNNNNNNNNNNNNNNNNNNNNNNNNNNNNNNNNNNNNNNNNNNNNNNNNNNNNNNNNNNNNNNNNNNNNNNNNNNNNNNNNNNNNNNNNNNNNNNNNNNNNNNNNNNNNNNNNNNNNNNNNNNNNNNNNNNNNNNNNNNNNNNNNNNNNNNNNNNNNNNNNNNNNNNNNNNNNNNNNNNNNNNNNNNNNNNNNNNNNNNNNNNNNNNNNNNNNNNNNNNNNNNNNNNNNNNNNNNNNNNNNNNNNNNNNNNNNNNNNNNNNNNNNNNNNNNNNNNNNNNNNNNNNNNNNNNNNNNNNNNNNNNNNNNNNNNNNNNNNNNNNNNNNNNNNNNNNNNNNNNNNNNNNNNNNNNNNNNNNNNNNNNNNNNNNNNNNNNNNNNNNNNNNNNNNNNNNNNNNNNNNNNNNNNNNNNNNNNNNNNNNNNNNNNNNNNNNNNNNNNNNNNNNNNNNNNNNNNNNNNNNNNNNNNNNNNNNNNNNNNNNNNNNNNNNNNNNNNNNNNNNNNNNNNNNNNNNNNNNNNNNNNNNNNNNNNNNNNNNNNNNNNNNNNNNNNNNNNNNNNNNNNNNNNNNNNNNNNNNNNNNNNNNNNNNNNNNNNNNNNNNNNNNNNNNNNNNNNNNNNNNNNNNNUCCGGUUUUUUCGGGUUUUCCGGGUCUAAACCCACUUUAUCCGGUUCCAACCUACCCACUUUGAAGUUUCCGGGUUUUCCGGUUCUAGACCCACUUUACCCGGAACCAUACCCGGAACCAAACCGGAACCGGUUCCUAUAUACCGAUCUGGUUUCCAGUUCUAUAAAAUCCCGUUAACCGGUUCCGGGUUUGGACCCACUUUCAUCCCUAGUCGGUGGUGGUACAUGGUGGUGGUGGUGGCCUUGUCUCAAUUUUCCGGCCAAUGAAACUGCAUAGAACAUACACACACCUAAACACAUGGCAGCACACGUCCACAACCACCUUCCACAACGGCUGGUGGCGGCCAUGGAAGUUCUUCGCUGUUGUCGGCCAUCAAAUACCCCACUGUAUGCACAAUAACGCAAAACGCACCCCCUUCGUCUUUUGCUCGAAAAAGAAACCCACACCCACCUGAACUCACGAAAAGUUGCAGCAACGAUUCACGGUGGUGGCUCGACUGGUCUCGGUGGUUUUGGCUAGAGCGAGUCGUCGGCGAGACAUCGACCAAGAACAAUGGUGGCGCAACAGCGGAAAGAAACAGAGACAGAGGAGAUUGGCGACCCAAAUAACAAACCGCAGCAGCACAAUCCUUCAUCUCCCGACCAACCCGUAUCGACUCGUGGCUCCUUUGUCUUCAACGACGACGGUGGUGAUCGAACUCGAACUCACAGCGGCGGUAGCUCCGGUCUGCGAAGUAGCGAUUGGGCGAAGCCUUAACUGACAGCGACUGAAGAAGGAGAAUGGGGGAAAAAGGACGGUCGUCUGGUGGUUGUUGGCUGAUCGGGAACGUGGUGGUGGCGGUGGCUCCGGUGAGGGGCAUAACGGGGGAUGACGGCUGCUACAUACGGGAGGGUUUAGGGUUUUGGUAGCGAUGCUUUAAACGGGAAUGAAGGAGUCAUCGGGUUUAAAUCCCGCUCCACUCAAAACUUUGCUCAAUAAACAAGUUUAGACCCUCCCCAUAGGAUCCUUUUCCAAUCAAAUCCUAUAUUUACCCAGUAAACCCCAACAUUAAAAAUCCAUUACAACUUAGGUACAAUAUUUCCAAAACAGCCCCUUUGUCUCCAAAAUCACUUCAAAUAAAGUCCCAAAAGUUACAAUUUAAUCCCUGCCUUCAAUAAUACUUACAAAUUAAGUCCGGAUUUACACUUUUAGCCCCCAAUCUCUAAAAGUGUGACAAAUAGCUCCUCGAGAUCAACACUUUGCUAAAUAAUUAUUUGUUUUAGGGCUACGAGCCAUUCAUUAAUUAAUUUAUUUAUUUAAUAAAUAAACGGGAUUUUACAGUGAAAAGGCUGAAAUGGAGGCCACUCAACCCUUAUAUAGGGUGAGUUUACGGCCAGGGGUGGGGGGGGGGUCCACCUGGCACUGACCGCAAACAGAGUUUACGGUCGUACACGAGUUUACGGCCGUAAACUCGCCUUGGCCGUGAACUCGUUGCUUUUAGAGGGAAUCGUGAGUUUUUCGCGCGAUUUUUCGUUUUCCAACACGUAUGUAUUUAUGACAAUAACCCUAGUUGAUUUACUUAACCCGAGAAGUAGACGGAAAAAUUUAAUAAAAAUUAAAUUUUAUUAACAGAAGUGGGUUACAAUAAUGGGAUAAAUUUUGGGUUGUCACAUAGCAUAUGUUACAAGGGUUCCGAACAUAUAAAGAACCCCGAAAUCCGAGUUAUAACGAAGAAGUGAUGAAUUUUUAACGGACUUUUCUUGUCCCAGUCUGUUAAAAAUAUAACUUAAUAAAGUCAAAAUUAGCCGACGGAGUCUAAACGAAAGUUACGGUCCCACCUACGCGUGGAUAUAAAGAACGUUGAAAACGGAGCUCGUAUACGAAAGUUACGAAUUUUAGAAGUCGAGUGUAUUAUUUGCGAAGCUGUUGCGAGGGUACAGGGUACGCUCCGCAUACGAGUCAUGUACGCCCUGCGGUCUUGUAUACUCACUCCAACAGAAGUCACGUUGCACCAAGCUGCUUUGGACACGUGUUGUACGAAAUUCGCCUUACGCCCAGCGUUCGAAGGAGCGCCCUGCGUACCGAAGUACGCCCAGCAUACCUCCGCAGGUACGCCUUGCGUAGACGAGGAGCUGCACCUAUAAAAGGGUGCGAGGUGCAGCCUUCUUUCUUCACUAAUUCACUAUCUCUUUCUCUCUCUCUCUCUCUCUCUCUCUCUCUCUAGCCUCCAAAACACCCCCAAGCCUAGGGAAAUCCCUAGCACUAGAAGGAAGCCCCGAAAUGCCCGACGGCUCCGAGAAAAAGAGCUUUUCGGCUCGGAAACUCUACUUUAGAGAAGCCCGAUUUUUGAGAAAAACUCAUUGUAAGUGACAUACGCAUACCCUACUUUAAAUAUAGCUUUUAUUUAAAUAUAGUAAUGUUAUUAGGACCUUAUAAUAUAUAUUUGGGCUAUUAUUAUGAGUUAUAUAAGUGUCGUUAUAAUAUCUUUUUAACUAGCCACGGUACGAGGAAUCUGUUUCGAAAGGCCGCUUGGGUUGUUGGAUUUCAGAAGUGCUAUAUGCCAAAAUGGUCCUACCCUCCAGUGUUUCAUGUCUGGCCCCUGUAUGUACAUACUAGUUGAGAAGUAUUGUUUAAUGCUUAUAUAAUAGUAAUAGUGCUAAGACUAUUAAUUAGUCACAAUGAAUAUUAGACUAAACUCUAGUGGUAAUAAUACUAAAUUUCGUCAAAGGAAAUUGUUUUUAAGAAGCGAAGCGUUGUCUGAGUUCGGAAUCACUACCUUAUCAGGUGAGUGUGUAGAUACCUUAAUCUUACACAUAAAUAUGAAGUAUUUAAUAUAAAUUACGUGCUAUGUGUGAAUAUUCUCGGUAUACUUGCCAUCUAUACUGAUGAACAAUUUUAUACAUGUUUUAAAUGAUUUAAACUGUAUAUGUAUUUUAUAUAUACCAAAUAUGUUGGGUAAAACAUGGGUAGAUGAAUGAUGAGGUAUGAAAGCUGAUAUAAAGGAACGUUGGCGACUAUGAACUUAGUUUCUAUCGUAUAAACCCUGGAGACUAUGGACUUAGUGUCUAUCGUAUAAACCCUGACGACUAUGGAGUUAGUACCUAUCGUAUAAACCUUGGAGACGAUGGACUUAGUGCCUAUGGUAUAAAGCCUGGCGACUAUGGACUUAGUGCCUAUCGUAUAAACCAUGGCAACUAUGGACUUAGUGCUUGCUGUAUGAACCCUGGCAACUAUGGACUUAGUGCCUAUUGUACAAACCCUGGCGACUAUGGACUUAGUGUCAGUUGUAUAAACCCUGGCGAAGAUGCACUUCAUGCCUAUUCCUUAGGAUAAUCCUUAGGAAUGAAUGAACGAGGAAUAGCUGAUUCUUAAGGUAGAUCCUUAAGAGUAAAGAAGAUAAUGGGGAUGGGUAAUUCGGUUGGUUGUUUGAUGUUAAAACAUAAUAAUUAUAUUAUUGUGGGUUGAAAACCCUAUGUACUCACAAGGUUUCCCAACCUGACCCACUCAAGUUUAUUUGUAUCACAGGUGUCGAUAUGAAGCUACUUUACACUGAGAGAUUUAAAAGAUAUAUAGAUUACUAGUGUAAAUGAAUGUAAAUCUGUUUAUGCUUAUGUUUCUGUAUUGACGAUGACAUCCCAAUGUUUUGAAAAUGAAUAAAAAUACAUUUCUUUGGAAAUGCUUUGAUAACAUAUUUAUCAUGUUUUUCUGGGAACAAAUUCCGCAACAUUUUUAUUAAAAGGGUACUCUGAUUUUUAUAAACCAUAAACAUAAUCGGUCUUUUUUGGCCGUGAAAAUAGGGAUGUUACAGUUAGUAUCAGAGCAUUAGUUUAAGCGAAUUAGGAAUAAGGAUUUAUUUCUAGACUUAAACUUUGAAUGCUAAGCAAUUAUCAUGAGGAGUGUGUCUAAUAAAUUUUAGGUAAUACACCUGAAUAGACACAAGCACUUGCAAAUUUAGGGACAAUGCCUAACAUGCUUUUAUAUGAUAAAUGACUUGUGAUGUUUUAUGUUGCUAUCAUCUGAUCAAAUCUAUGGUCUGUUGCCGACCGAAUAUGGAAAUUUUAUGUGUUCAGAUUUCUAAACAUUUGAUUAUGGUAUUAGAAUUGGUAUAUAACUUUUCGGAAUAAUAAGGAGAUUUAUACAUCUAUCGUAAAUAAAAUCAUUCCCAUCUUAAUUCUCAUGAUUACACACCAAACAUCUGAUUUGGUGUAUAGAUUGAAAUGGAAAGAACCCAAAGUGGAGUCGGAAAUGCGAACGGUAAUAGGAAUCAAUUGCCUCAACCCCAAGUAAUUAAGAAAAUACCAGUAGCAGCAGCUACACCUGAGCCAAUCACAAUGGCUAGAGUACAAGCCAUGAUUCGGGCUAUGCUGGCUGAGCAAGGAGAAGAGAUGAGGAAAAUGUUUCAUGAAAAUAGGGACGAACCUACAAUACCUAUUGAAUAGCCUGAGCUGAAUGAUAGACAGUCAGAGGAAGGAAACUACAGUAGGAUCGUUGGUCAAGAUGAACAACCAAUAGUUAGAAGGAAUAUCCAAGAUGGAGGAAACGACGGACGGGGAUGCAAGUAUAGGGAUUUCAUGGCAUCCAAACCACCGAGUCUUUCUAGAAGACCAACACCGAUAGAAGUCAUGGAUUGGACCUCCGAAAUGGAGAUAAUGUUUGAGAGUUGCGAGUACAACAACAAACAAAAGACUGCCCUCGCGGUUACCUAGUUAAAGUCGGGAGUGCUGAGCUGGUGAAAGCUACUAGCUAACACGAUCCCCAUGGGAGAAGCAAGCAAGAUGUCUUGGGAAGAUUUCCUGAUACAACUGAAAAUGCAGUAUUACUCUGAGCAGGAUCUUCUGGAGAUCAACAACGAGUUACAAAAUCUGAAGAAGGGAAGGAUGAGUGUCACCAAGUAUGCUGAAAGUUUUACGGAGAAGAUGAAGCUUGUUCCCUUCCUAGUUCCAACUAAACUCUCCAAGUUCAACAAGUUUGACAAUAGAUUACCAGCAGACUUUAGUACAAUGGUUAAGCAAGCAACCACUUUAGAAUUCACCAUUUGGGCAGCCAAGAAUGUCGAGACCCAAAUAAGGGAAAAGGGUUUGGAGAAAGCUGAAGUUGGCGAGAAGAGGAAGUAUGAAGGAUCUUCAAGGUCCAACAAAGAGAGAAAAUUCUCAAAGUUGGGAGGAGGAGGUGGUGAAGCUAAGUGGUGCGAGAAGUGUAAAAAGAAACACUUCAGGAAAUAUAGCGAUGAGGUGACUUGCUACGAAUGUGGAAAGACAGGGCAUUACGCAAGCAAGUACGCAUCCAACAAGAGGGUGUGCUACGGAUGUAACAAAGAAGGGCAUAUUUCUAGAGACUGCCCAAAGAAAAACAAGGUAGCAAGGCCAGAUACACCACUAAGGACAAGGGUAUUCCACAUGAUCCUCGACGAAGCAGAUAACAACGCGAGGAAUAGAGGAUGAGGACUUCAUAUCCAAAGAUCAAGUUAUGAACUUGCCAUGGGGAUAUUGUCAUAUGGUGUAGCCUAUUAAAGUCAUAGUAUAUGGUGAACUUGAACACCUAUGUAAUCGUUUCAAGGAAUAAUAUAAAACUUUCGUUUUGUUAUCUUGUGUGUUAAGUUGUUAUGUGAUUUUCUUGUAUGGUGACUUGGAAAAACUACGAGACAAUACUUGGGACGAGUAUCAGUAAGUGUGAAUGGUAUUAGAGGCCUAUACUACCGGAAGCAAAAGAAUCACGCUUGGAUCAGGGAAAGUCACAAGGUUACCAAGAAGCUAGUAAUUGAUUCCAUUUUGUUCAUGUAUGUCAUUACCCUUAUUUCGGUAAUGAUUAAGAAGAUGAUUGUCAUUUCGACCCUAGUGGUCAUAUCAAAUCGAGUACAACUAAGAUGAGUAUACUACGUGGUUCAGAGAAUAAAGUUCGAUGUUACAUCUGACUUAAACUAGAAGAUUGAAAUAAAAGAUAAUCAAAGUGAUCAGUAGAAGCAUCGCGAUAGUCGUUAAGCAAGCUUGUAGCUAGAAAUGCUACUUGUUAAGAUGUGAUCAUAUCACAUUAGAACAAGAAGGAAGGUAUAGUUGGACUCUAAGAGACCCGAGUCUAAGCAUUGCAACAUACAAUGAAAGGUCAUUAAAAUGUGGCCCAUCAGUCUAUUGUGGAAAUCAAAUAACUUAUCUUAAGUUUGUUAAGAAGAAUAAGGAGUCUCCAAUAAGGACCGAGGUUGUGACUUGAAGGUCAUAAUUUGGAGUUUAACAUAAGAUAGAGAGCGGGUGCAAGAUCAAGCACCAUCUGCAGUCAAUAACUCCAAGAGUUAAAUACUUAUUCGAAGAAACAUAGAAGUUACGGUUAUUACCUAGGAUGAAGAGAUAACAUAUGGAAUUAUUAUACAAGCCAUGUUUCAUUGAUGAUUCUGGGACAUAAUCAUCCUAAGGGGGAGAUAAUUAUAACGUCUGCAAAUUCGGCCUAGUCAAUUUAGAGAUAAUAAGUGUAACACCCCGGCUCCCAGGUAUAAGCUUUAAGGAUUUAUGUACAUGACUAUGGUCCCACUCGGCGAGUUGGUUGCCCCAACUCUUCAUGUAGAGGAGGGUUAGCCCAUGCGGAUUACUGAGGCUACUCGACGAUUUGGAGGACGGACCCGAUAAGUAGGAUUUGUGAGGUGAAACCCUAAAGUUUAGGGUUUGCACUCUAUUUAAAAGGACCUUAAGCCCUUGCCACCUGUACCUUAUCAUCUCUUGACGGCCAGAAGAAACCCUAAUCGAUAGUAUCCUUGUUCUUGAGUGAUUAUAAGGCUUAAAGAGUGAUUUUGUUACAUUUUGUGAAGAAGGUGUGAAGUGUUAGAAGAUUGGAGCAAAUAGGAGCUUGGGAAUCCGACUCUACUACUUCUUGGCAUCAAUUUGAACAUAACAAGUCGUUACCUUGGCUUAUCUCUAGUUAAAAUCUCCCCAUGCUUAGACUUAGGGCCACUUAUGGUUUGUAUGUGAGUCAUUUCGGGUAUUUAGCCAUGAUCUGAAGUUGCAACUUCAGAUCUGGACUCCUCCCGGUCUCAAAACCUUAAAGCUAUCAACUUUAUCUCAUCUGAACCCCUCACCUUGCCUUAAAACUCAUUAUGGACUUGGUUUUGGUAUCUUGAACUCUUAGGACCUUGCAUGCACGUAAAGUGUGCAACUUUAUGUCGUAAACAUGCCUUAGGAUGAUAGAUCUACAAUUUGGAGCGUUGGAAGAGCCUGAAAACGUCUGAAUGAAAAUGGUACUGAAGGGACUCGAUUAGUUGCAUGGAAAACUCGACGAGUCGGAUGAAGAUGGCCUUGGUUAGUUUCUGCAUGGACUCGACGAGUCAGUAGGAUGACUCGAUGAGUUAGUUAGGGUUUUCCAACCUUUAGACAUGCCUGGACUCGACGAGUUGUCUGGAAACUUGACGAUCCAACUAGGGUUUUGCGAUCUUUUGAGUUCUGGAAGGAGUCGACGAGUCAGUGAGCUUCACUUGGCGAGUUGGGUCAACCUAGACUCUUGACCUUGACCGUUGGUUUUGAUCUUGACCAAGGGUUGACCCGUUUGACUUCGGAGGGUAUUUUAGUAAUUUCGGGAUUUAUGGAAGUGGCUUUGUGAUGAAUAUAGGUGGUGGAGUUUGUGGUUGUGAUACGAGAGUUUGAUUUUAUCACUUCUAUUCGACAACUAUGAGGUGAGUUAUUGUAACGACCCAAAAUCAGGGGUAAAAAAAAUUCAUUUCUUAUAUAACCCAACCAUAAUUACUAUUUAUUCCAAACAUUCCAAACAUUGUUAAUUAGAAACAUUUAUCAGAGUUCGUCCCAAAUCAUUCAUUGCGGAAAUCAUAGGUGUGUGCACUGCAAUAAAUCCGAGCCCUUCAUUUCCAAAUCGAUGAAACCUGAAACCAAAACUGUAAACCGUAAGCACAAAGCUUAGUGAGUCCCCCAGAGCAUACCCCACACACAAUCCACAUAACACAUAUCAUAUUAGCUGUAAAAGCUAUCUCUACCGUUAUCACAUAUCAAUCAUCUAUAAAAGCUACUAUACCACGUAUCACAUAUCAAAUGGCUAUUAAAGCUCUCUCUACCAUUAGCACAUAUAAAUUAGCUAUAUAAGCUAUCUCUACCAUUAGCCACAAAGGCUAUCUCUACCAUCAGCCAUAUAGGUUGUCUCUACCACUAGCCAUUAAGGUUGUAUCUACCAGGAGCCACAAGGCUAUCUCUACUGCCUAUCAUGCAUAUAUACAUAUCACACACCUCUACAUAGAAAGUAUACCAACUGUCAUAAAAUGGGUCAGCCUUGGUGCCUUAGACCCAUUGGUAUGGUGAGAAGACUCACCUCUCGACUGCUGAAAUGAUAAGCUGAAAUCAGACAUAUCCCACACGCUGCUCCUUCUCAACCGCCCAUAAUCAUUAGGUGAUUAACUUGACACAAACCCAUAAAUACCCUUAGGUCAACCCUAGUCAAAGUCCAUGUCUAUAGUCAAGGUCAACAGUCCAUAUUGAUCUCAACUUGUCGAGUACAAUUAGCCACUUGUCGGGUUCCUUGCUUAACUUGUCAACUCGCCGAGUCACCGGAGAGACUCGUCGAGUUCCUUGACGUUCACGGCCAUAAACCACCAACCGAACACCCUUGACCGUAAACCCUUGGCCGUGAACCCUUGACCGUAAACCCUUGACCGUGAACGAGAAAACCCUCUUGACUGUCGAGUCACUUGCACGACUCGUCGAGUCCUCAUAGUCCCUUAUGUUUACGGCCCUUUCCAGUGGAACUCAAGGUCCCAAACUUCAGAUCUAUACUCUACUAGUGUGGAUAACACGUAAAGUUGCAAACUUUACAUGCAUGCAAGGCCUCACAUGGCCAUAACACCAAAACUAACCUUCAAACAAGGUUUUCAUGCAUGGAGAGGGAAUGAGCUUAAUAAAAGAUGCAACUUUAUGAUAUUUGGGACCUAAGAAGGUCCAGAUCUGGAACCAUAUCCUUGUGAUAGGUCCAGAUCUAAGCUUGCUUCCAUUUCCUCAAAGUUGGUAAUAAACUCUUAAAUAGAAUCUAGGCUUAAGAUAACAUAUUCAUACCUCAAUUCGAUGCCCAAGACGAAAUAGAUGCUAGAUCUAGUGUUUUCCCCUGGAUACCUCUUCUUCAAGCUUGGAAUCCCUUCCACAAUCCCAAAGUUUAAGCUCCCAAUGCUCUUACUUCACACACCCAAGAUUUUGCGGCCGUAUGAUGUUAAGGAAGGCUACAAAGGCGUAUAAUGACAUUUAUAUAGGGGGCAAACCCCGAAAUUAGUGUUUUCUCUAAACAACUCUCACUCGCCGAGUCGGGCCUUCCGACUCGCCAAGUCAAUUCCGACCCGCGUCCAAAAUGUCUUGACUCUGCUCGACGAGUUGAUCUCCCAACUCGCCAAGUCCAUGCAUAAAACCUCCCAAAUUUAGCAACUUUCCAACCAACACCUGAACCAAGUGUUACAGUUAUCCUCACUAUACUCAAGGUUCUAAGGCACCAAGGCCGACCCUUUUUGGAUUGUUAUCCUGAUAUGUUAUGCUAGUAUGAUCUGUUAGAUCAACAUCCUGGUAGAUAGGAUGAUAUUAUGUUGUUAUGACCCGUUAGAUCAGUAUCUUAGUAGAUAGGAUUUUAUUUUGAUGUUAUGACCAGUUAGAUCGGUUUGCUUGUUUAUAAACUGUUAUGUGAAUUAGAUGAUAUAUGUGCACAUGUUUGAUUAGUGGUUGAGGCUUAUCUGCUUCGUGCGAGAGCCAAUAGACCUGGGCAUUCCAACCCGAUAGUUGUGGGCCGUGAGUAUUCCAUCCCGAGGAUGAUUGGACUCGUAGUAUAUGUGCAUUACAAACUGAUGGUUGUGGGCCUGGGGUAUUCCAUCCUGAAGAUGAUUGGACUCAUAGUAUGUUGUUUGUGAUUAUAGGUAUAUUGGUGUGUGUAUGGGAAUUUUGGGGGUAACUCACUAAGCCUUUGAGCUUACAUUUAUGAGUUUUGUUUCAGGUACUUCUGCAGAUUGAGGGAAGACAAAGGCGUGACGUACACAUCCUCACAUUUUCUGACUUGGGAUUUUUAGGAACUCUGAUAUGGAACUGUUUUGAAAACAAUUUGUGAAACACGUUUGUUUGAAUAAUUUUUAUACACUCAGAAUGAUUUUGAAAAGUUUAAAUUUUUGGUAAAUUUCAUGAAUGUUACAAGUUGGUAUCAAAGCCUUGGUUUGAGUGAAUUGGAGGAAUACUCGUGUGAAUCCAGUCUCAAAUGUAGGAAAAGAUUUUUCCAAAUGAUUUUCAAAACACUAAAAGAGGAUGCGAUAUGUAUGAUCAGCCGGAGCUAGUAAGUAGACCUCAAAAUACCAUAUAAUUAUCUGAUUUUAUGAUAUUAUAAUAUGUUAGAACAGCAUGCUAGUACUAGGCUAGGGAUCUUCAGGAAUUGCAUGAUAGAAUUGCCUGAUUGUAUGUGUUGGAUAAGGUGUCUAAGUUUGUAACUAUAUUUCGUAUGUACUUGAACCGACCCCGGCAUCGUCCAUUUGGGUUACACUUCAUCGAAACAAUUUGUAUGGAUAAUCUUUUGAGAAUAGUUUAUUUAUGAUUUAUUAAUAUAUUAUAAGUUAUAAUAUAUUAAUAUGAAAUCAUAUUAUUUAAUUAGUAUUGAUCAAGAAUUGAAAUGGAAUUGAUUUAGUGAUCAAAAGAGACUAAUUAGAUAUGGACUCUUAUAUAUAUAUAUAUAUAUAUAUAUAUAUAUAUAUAUANNNNNNNNNNNNNUAUAUAUAUAUAUAUAUAUAUAUAUAUAUAUAUAUAUAAUGGGCCAAAUUUCAUUUAGGAUGGGCUAAGCUUGCAUGGAUAGUCCAUGGAGUUUGUAACCCAUGGAUCCUAUGGAAAUGAAAGGUCAUGGGUAUUAGGGUUUACAUGGAUGUAACCCUAAUCGACCAUACUAUAUAAAGAGGUCUUUGGCACAUGAAAUGGCACUAGUGUGUAAGUGAACAAGAGUGGGCCAAUUUCUAGUGUGCAUACUAUUCUCUUAAAGUCUUCCAAGGUGUUUUGGUGAUUUGUGAUUCCACUUGAGGCAUCCACAUUAUUGGUGCUAGGCUCUUGAAGUUCCAAGCAAUCAUCCACAAGAAACGGUAUGUUCUUCCACUAGAUUCUAUGUUACAAGUACCCCAUAACAUGCUAGUUAGGUUAAGAAGCUUGGAAAAAUCAAAUUUGCAUGUAUAAUAGAGAAAACAUAGAUCCAAUGUUUCUAGGGUUGCAUGUACACCAUAGGAGUGUUAGAAUGCUCAAAACCCUUCAGUGGUAUCAGAGCCAAGGCUUGUUUUCAUUAUACUUGAUGCAAAUUGCUGAAAAAAAAGUCGGAAAUCUACUCACUAUUCAGUGGACUCGCCGAGUCCAUGGGGGGAAUCGACGAGUCUAAGUGAAAACUCAUCCUACACGUCGAGUAGGUUCUUGCACUAGGAGGCCCAGAGUGCUGAUUUUCGAGUUUUGCUGCUGGAAAUGGACUAGAAUCAUUACCCUAAACUGUUUUGGACUUAUAAAAUCUAUUUUUGAUGUGGUAAUGAUUAUGCUAAUUCAUUUUCAAAGGUUAUUUUCAAAGUUUCAAGUUUUAUAUAUUUUUAUAUGAUUCUUUAAAUUGUUGAUAUGAAUGUUCAUGCUUAUGAGUUUUAGUAGAUCAUAUGAAUUAUUUGCAAAUUAUUUAUUAGUGUAAUUCUUGAUCUAAAUGCCAAUUAAUGGACUCCAUAACUUGUCCUCAAGUUAUGGAAUUCCAAAAGUCUUUUCUUUAAAACCAUUAAAACUCAUAAGUUAUAGAAAUGAAAAGUUUUUGAAUAGUUUCAAAACUUUCCCUCAUGUUUUGGAAUUUGUAAAGUCUAACACACACUUUAAUACCAAACCCUAGAUUUUUAAAAGUUAAAAUUCAACCCUUAUACUUUAUAGUAUUAUAAGUUAAUAAUAUAUAUAUAUAUAUAUAUAUAUAUAUAUAUAUAUNNNNNNNNNNNNNNNNNNNNNNNNNNNNNNNNNNNNNNNNNNNNNNNNNNNNNNNNNNNNNNNNGGGUGUCCACUCCUACCCCCCGCUUCCUUGACUGGUGGAGGGUCGUUAGCCGAACGGGUAGGACAAGGACUAUAGUUCUCAUUAAAAGUAUAAUGAUAAUGAUAAAGUAACUAAACCUUUUAUAAAUUCUCAAUCUUAGUUACUUUAGGAAAAUGUAAAUUUGGUGCUAACCCAUGAAAUUACACUUUGUACCUUACCAAGUCGUUGGUGGAGCGUGUGUGGUUAACCGGCACACUAACAUGGACUAGUAAGAGUGGAAAAGGGUAACUUAAUGUUUAUCAUAGAUCGGUGGAGCGUGUGUGGUUAACCGGCACAUCGAUUAGGUGAUAAAAGUAAAGGGUACCAAGUUAAUUUGCAUGGUUAUUCACACCUUGUUUGUGAUCCUCGACAUCCCAGUCACAAAUUUGAGAGCGUUCAAUCUAGAUUUAAACAUGCCAUUGAAAAGUUCAAUGAAUCUCAAAAGAUCUAGGAGUUUUUCAUGGUGGAAAUUCGUGAAUCGUCAUUCACUUACAUUCAAAUACUUUAUAGCUUGGAUUACGGCAUCCCUAUUCUAAGUUAUAAAAUAUUGUGUUGGGUCCUAGCCUUAAUAUUACAUUUGGGUGUCUUAUUACGGAUUCUAUAUCUAAUCUAAACUUGUCUUUCUUCUUUUUCAGAUGUCUUCCAACAAUGCUAUUUCUAGCUCAAACCCAACAGGCUCCUUCUCUCUCUUGAAUCUUUGUGGGAGAGUUAUCUUUGAUGGUUCAAAUUUUAAUGAUUGGAUCAGGAACAUCAGGAUGGUCACACGUUACGAGGACAAGGAAUAUGUCCUUGACAAGGAGCUGAAAGAUAUUGAUGAGUCUACUUCUACUCCACAGAAGAUCGAUGACUCCAGGACUCAUGAGAGAGAUGCCACCAAGGUGGAAUGUAUCAUGUUGGCAACAAUGACAGCUGAACUCCAGAAGUCCUAUGAUGACUUUUACCCUUUUGAGAUGUACAUGGACCUGAUGGGUCGCUACCAUCAGAGUGCUCGUCAAGAGAGGUAUGAAAUCAUCUCUUCCAUGAUAACAACCCGAAUGAAGGAUGGUGAACCCAUCACAAGCCACAUGCAGAAAAUGCAAAGGUUUGUUGACCGUUUGCUGAAGUUGAAUGUGAACUUCCCUGAGGAGUUGGCUAUUGACAUCAUACUGCACUCCUUACCUACUUGUUAUGAUCAGUUCCGAAUGACCUAUCAUAUGCACAAGGAGGAGGUCACACUCAACAACCUUCAAGGACUUUUGAAGACCACCAAAAGUGGUAUCAAAGGUAAAUUGGUUGUUACUACUCCUAUUCCUAACAUCGCCCCUGUUCUGACAAUCGGGAAAAGUAGAGGGAAAAAGAGGAAGACCCCUUCGAAGGGUACCAUGGGAAAGUCUCUUGAUGGAUCCUCUUCGAGUGGAACCAAAGGUGGUUUUGUCACUCUUUCUUCCAACCCAAAGGAAGUUGAAUGCUUUUAUUGUCAUGAUAAGGGGCACUGGAAACGAAACUCCCCUAAGUACCUGUAAGAUGUUAAGGAUGGGAAGGUCAAACCAACCCAUGUAAGUAUUUACACUAUAUUGACUAAUAACUCACCGCAUACUAAUUCUUGGGUCCUUGAUACAGGUUGUGGUAUUCAUAUAUAUUCUGAUUUGUAGGGCCUAAGAAGAAGUAAGGAUGUGGAGCACGGAAAGAUAAACUUGAUCAUGGGGAAUAGGAAAAACUUCACAUGUCACCAAGAUUUGAGUUUAUUCUUUGUUGCUAAGUAGUAGGUUAAUGUUAGAUUUGAAUAAGUGUUGCUACUCAUCAGAAAUGGCGAGAAAUAUUAUUUCCUUUCACGGUUUGUACAAAUAAGGAUUUACUUUUUCAUUUGAUAAUGAAUGUGGUGGUAUUAAUGCUUUUUAUAAUUAUGUUCUUUAUUUUAAAGCAUUACCUUGUGAUGGUGUAUAUGAAAUUGUGUCGGUUGUAGACAACUUAGGAAAUAAUGUAUUGUAUAUCAAUUCUUCCACUAGUUUAGAUAAGGCAUCCUUGUGGCAUUGUCAUCUUGGACAUGUCAACAAGAAGCGCAUAGGCCAACUACAAAAGGCUAGAGUAUUGGAGGCAUUUGACUUAAGGUCAGAUGAUAGUUGUGAAUCUUGUUUACUAGGAAAAAUGACUAAGUCACCUGUCGCUGGUACUUGUGCUGGGGGUGAAUGUUUGUUGGACCUCAUACACACGGAUGCGUGUGGACCCUUCAGAACUGCCACAAGGGAUGCUAACCGCUUUAUGUGACUUUUGCUGAUGAUUAUAGUAGAUAUGGUUAUGACUUCUUAAUCAAGCAUAAGUUAGAAACCUUUGAAAAGUUCAAAGUGUUUAAACAGGAAGUGGAGAAUCAGCGCAGGAACAUUAAGAAGCUUCGAUCCGAUCGAGGAGGAGAGUAUCUUAGUACAGAGUUCCUUGACUAUCUUAAGGAAUGUAGAAUUGUUUCACAGUUGACACAUCCCAGAAUACCACAGCUUAAUGGUGUGGCUGAUAGGCGCAAUCGAACCUUGUUAGACAUGGUUCGUUCCAUGAUGAGUCGAGCUUCGUUACCAAUCUCAUUUUGGGGGUAUGCCUUAGAGACUGCCACCCAUAUCCUUAAUCUAGUCCCUACCAAGAAGGUUGCCAAAACACCUCACGAGAUAUGGAAUGGGAAAGUUCCUAAUUUAGACCACAACAAGAUUUGGUGUUGCGAGUCCUUCGUGAGGCGCAAGACUCAUGACAAGCUCAAACCUCAAAGUGAGCGAUGUAUUUUCUUCGGCUACCCACAUAAAUCUUUUGGUUACCUCUUCUACAGACCCAGUGAUAAUGUGGUAUUUGUGGCAAGGAGAGGAGCCUUUCGCGAGAGAGAAUUUAUAAGCCAAGGAAAUAGUGGGAGGCAAUUGACCUUGAAGAGAUUCAAGAGUCAAGUGGUGAAGGAACCUCAAACCCUAGCAAUCAACCUGAGGAGGAAACUCUUGUUGAACCAACUGAUGAGUCUAUACCUCUAAGGCGUUCCACUAGAGUUAGGAAUCUAUCAGAGCAUUACUAUGGUUUCCAUAUUACUACAGAAGGUGAUACAUUUCUCAGUAAUAGUACACUGGUAAUUUUGGAUGAACCUAAUAGCUAUAGGGAAGCCAUGGGAGGCCUUGAGUCAGCCAAAUGGAAAGAGGCUAUGGAUAACGAGAUUCAGUCCAUGUAUGACAAUCAAGUUUGGAACUUGGUUGACAAUGUACCGGGUCGUAAGACAUUCAGGUGCAAAUAAAUGUUCAAGAAGAAGACCGACAUGGAUGGGAAAGUGCACACUUAUAAGGUGUGACUGGUUGCAAAGGGCUUCACUCAAACUCAGGGAGUUAAUUAUGAUGAAACCUUCUGACCAGUAGUGAAGAUUAAAUAUAUUAGGGUUAUGCUAGCGAUUUUUGCAUUUCAUGAUUAUGAAAUAUGUUAAAUGGAUGUCAAAAUCGCUUUCCUUAAUGGAAAGUUGGCUGAGGAUGUUUACAUGAGUCAGCCAUAGGGUUUUAUCAAUGCAAAGUACCCUGAUAGAGUGUGCAAGCUUGACAAAUCCAUUUGUGGAUUGAAACAAAAAUCUUGCAGCUGGAAUAUUUUUUUGAUGAGAAAGUCAAAGAGUUUGGUUUUUCGAGAAGCAAAGAUGAGUCACGUAUAUAUGUCAGAGCUAGUGGGAGUAUAGUUAGCUUUUUGGUACUGUAUGUGGAUGACAUACUACUCAUAAAAAAUGACAUCCCAACUUUGCAGGAGACUAAGUCCUGGAUUGGGAAGUGUUUUGCUAUGAAGGAACUUAGAGAGGCUUCAUAUAUCCUAGGGAUAAGGAUAUUGAGAGAAAGGAGUAAAAGACUAAUUGGACUUAUUCAGAGCACCUACUUGGACAAGGUGUUGAAGAGGUUCAACAUGCAGAAUUCCAAGAAAGGUGAUUUACCGAUCUAAAGCAAUGCCAAACUGAGCAAGGCUCAGAGUCCGAGUACAGAGGCUGAGAUAGCUGAGAUGAGUCUAUUACCAUAUGCUUUCACUGUUGGCUUGGUCAUGUAUGCUAUGACUUGUACCCGCCCUGAUGUGGCCUUUGCUUUGAGCAUGGCCAGCAGAUAUCAGGGGAACCCUGGCAAGGCUCACUGGACUGCGGUAAAGAACAUUCUCAAGUACCUGCGAAGGACUAAGGAUUGGACUCUUACCCUUGGUGGGAGUGAUGACUUGAGAGUAGUAGGGUAUAGUGAUGCUAGCUUUCAGACUAAUAGGGAUAAUUUCCGCUCUCAUUCGGGCUGGGUCUUUACCAUGAAUGGAGGAGCGAUUACUUGGAAAAGUUCCAAGCAGGAGACAGUAGCUGACUCGACAUGUGAAUCAGAGUACAUAGCAGCGAGUGAAGCGGCAAAGGAGGCGAUAUGGCUGAGGAACUUCAUCGGAGACCUUGGAGUUGUACUAGCUAUAAAGGAGCCUAUAGAGAUUUUCUGUGACAUCAAUAGUGUGGUUUCCUUAGCCAAGGAACUGAGAGAUCAUGGCAGAUCCAGACACAUUGACGGAAAAUAUCCCUUCAUGAGACACAAGAUAGAAGAAGGACUCCUCAUGGCAAAAAUGGUAUCGUCAGAAGAGAACCCAGCAGAUCCCUUCACGAAGGGACUGAAUAGGGUUAGGGAUUUGCAGCAUGCGACGAGCAUUGGACUGAAGGACGAUAUUAGUUUUACAGAUUGGAUAGCUAUUUCUGAAACGUGUAAAUUGUAAUUGACAUUUGAUGAUGAAAUACAAGUUGUUGUUUAUUUAUACGUAAGGUGUUUCUAUCUUGUGUCAAUCGUUUACUAUUGUUUCAAAUUUGCAUGUUUUGACUUCCAGAAUAAUUAUUUAAUUCAAACUCUCCACAGUCAGUCAUACUUUGGAAGUAGGUAUGAAUCAAGACUGUCAUGAAUUAGGCUUGUAGAUGUCUAAGCUGUUAGACAUAGCAAAAGUUGCUAUGACAUUCAUGAGUGCUCAUAAGUUCUGAGUAUUGGAUUCAACCUACACUCACUUGUAACAUUUUAUGGAAUUUAUCUCGAGUGAUCAUGAGACGGUAAUAUCAUAUAAGUCUUCAAACCUAGAUAUAUGAGUUGUUGGCCAUGAGUUGGUUGUGCAUUGAUUGAACGAAAACGCAUCAGUAACUUGAUGUUAUAAAACAUGCAUUUGUGUAUGAUUCAACAAGUAGUUAGUAUAAGCAUAUGAGUCAAAGUUUAUAUGUUCCUUUUAGUCCUUGGAGGAUUAAAAGCAAUAUCCGGUCCCCUCGAUGAUUUUGUUUUGACCUAUGUGUCGGGCCCGGUCAAAACAAAAUUGAUGUGUUCAGUUUAGUUCUAUGUCAAACAAAUCGAAAAUUGGGAAACAAACUGCUAGACAAUAAGUAUGACUUUGUUCCAUGUAUUUGUUUGGCUGAUAUCUAGAACAAAGGAUUAUAUGAUCACUUAUCUAUAAUGGCAUUUCAUAGUUCAACAGAGUUUUAAGAGCUACAAUUGCUGGUCAGUUCCUGAAGUCAAACUUGCAACUACAGUUAUCAGACUUAUCCAAGUGGGAGACUGUUGGAUAAGGUGUCUAAGUCCAUAACUAUAUUAGGUAUGUACUUGACCCGACCUGACAUGGUCCAUUUGGGUUGCACUUCACCGAAACAAUUUGUAUGGAUAAUCUUUUGAGAAUAGUAUAUUUAUGAUUUAUUAAUAUAUUAUAAGUUAUAAUAUAUUAAUAUGAAAUCAUAUUAUUUAAUUAGUAUUGAUCANNNNNNNNNNNNNNNACUAAUUAAAUAUGGGCUCUCAUAUAUAUAUAUAUAUAUAUAUAUAUAUAUAGAAUGGACCAAAGUUCAUUUAGGAUGGGCUAAGCUCGCAUGGAUAGUCCAUGGAGUUUUUAACCCAUGGAUACUAUGGAAAUGAAAGGUCAUGGGUAUUAGGGUUUACAUGGAUGUAACCCUAAUCCACCAUACUAUAUAAAGAGGUCUUUGGCACAUGAAAUGGCACUAGUGUGUGAGUGAACAAGAGUGGGCCGAUUUCUAGUGUGCAUACUAUUCUCUCAAAGUCUUCCAAGGUGUUCUGGUGAUUUGUGAUUCCACUUGAGGCAUCCACAUUAUUGGUGCUAGGCUCUUGAAGUUCCAAGCAAUCAACCACCAGAAAAGCUAUGUUCUUCCACUAGAUUUUAUGUUACAAGUACCCCAUAACAUGCUAGUUAGGUUGAGAAACUUGAAAAAAAUCAAAUUUGCAUGUAUAAUAGAGUAAACAUAGAUCCAAGGUUUCUAGGGUUGCAUGUACACCAUAGGAGUGUUAGAAUGCUCAAAAACCUUCAUUAUGAUGCCUGAUAGCCUAGGGUUUUCCUUAUAUGAGAUUGACAUCAUUACUGUAGUGGCUUAGUGUAUGCAUCAUGGCUAUACAUAAUAAAUAUUUUAUAGUCUGAGAAUGUUUGAUUUGGCCUUAUUUCUUGUUCUUGUUUGAUGAAGGGCUUAGGGUAGGAUUAGGUAUUCGAAAGCCUAUAGCAUAAUGGCUUAGUGUAUGAAUCAUGACUACACCAUGGGAGUGUUAGAAUGCUCAAAAACCUUACAGCACCCGAGGGUAUCAGCCUGGGUGGGUCAGUGUUGACAAAGGAUCGUGUUACGGAGAUCAUCCGCCAUGAGGUGGUCCAGAUAGUCCAGGGUAAGAUUACGGUGAUGUUUGGGUUCUAUUAAGACCGCCAUGAUAGAGUAUUUUGACGACAGAUAUGCAACUCUUGUUGAGAUGGCUUCCGCAGCAGCUACCACGGCUGUAACAGCGGGAGGGGGGGGGGCCCGNNNNNNNNNNNNNNNGGGGGAGGAGCCAGUCGGGGUUUUCAGUACCGGGACUUCGAUAACACGAAGCCCCCAACUUUCAACAGGACUCAGGACCCAAUCAUAGCCAUGAGGUGGCUGUCUGACGUGGAGGAAUGUUUCUUCACGUGCUCGUGUCCUGCUGACCAGAAGGUCAGAUGUGCCUUGAACUUGCUGAGGUCUGGGGCAAAGGACUGGUGGAGGUUGAUGAAUGGAUUGUAUAUUGAUGAUCAGAGAGUUUUUGUUACUUGGGAGCAGUUCAGGGAUAUGUUUCGCGCUCGCUUCAUUCCACGGGUCGAGCGCAAGUGGCUGUCACAAGAGUUUUUGGACCUGCGAUAAGCUACGGAGACGGUGACAGAGAUCACUCGUAUGUUCACUGAGAGGGUGAUAUUUUUCCCAUAGUUCGCUUCUGAGCAGGACCAGACGAUACGUUAUCUGAGCAUGCUCAAGACCGAGUUUUCUUCAGUUUGUUGCUACCCAACGAUGUGAUACACUGUUGGAGUUACAGGAUGCCGCCAGGCGGCGUGAGUUGGAUAUUGAGCUACAGUUACGGGAGUAGAGAUAGGCCCCGAUACAGUUGCAACCGGUGCCAAAACGUUCUAAGACCACUGAUACUAGGCUUGGUGGAUAGCUAAGCCGCACUUAUGGGAAGUGCGAAAAGGCUCAUUCUGGGGUUUGCUGAUCGGGGAGUGGUGCCACAAAUGUGGCAGGCAAGGUCAUCAUGUCAGGGAUUUCAGGCAACAGACUCCAGCUUUUGGAGUCAGACUUUGUUACCAUUAUGAGUAAGUGGGCCAUAUGAAGGACCAGUGUCCUCUACUAGACGCCAAGCCGACUCAGGCUCCAACUCCGGCUACUCUGAGGAUUACAGACGGGAGUCAGGUUAGAGCACCGCCACCGAGGGCUCAGGGACGUGCCUUCCAGCUUACAACAGAGGAGGCCAUGGUAGCACCAGAUGUGGUUGCUGGUAUGUUUCUAUCCCUUAUCUUGCUAAUUAUAUUUGUUGUAUGCUUACAUGUUUGUGCAUGUGGUUAGCUACGUUUAUAGUGAACUCCUUACCUGCGUUGCUAUUAUUCGACUCGGGGGCGAGUCGGUCUUUUUUUUCUCAGUCUUUCAUUAGGGAGUUCAUGUUUCUAGUAGGAGAAUUACAGUGUCCGUUGCGAGUCUCCAUCGCCAACGAACACGGGAUUUCCGCUUCUUCGGUUUAUCGAGGUUAUGUGUUGGAGAUAUUUGGGGUAUCCUUUCCGAUAGAUUUGAUUCUGAUUCCCAUGGGGGAUGUGUAUGUGAUUGUGGGUAUGGAUUGGAUUAGUCGCUUCGGUGCCAUGAUCGACUGUGAGGGACAACGGGUGGUAGUUCGAACCCCAAGUGGGGGAGAACUGAUCGUCUAUGGAGAGGGAACCAAAUUGGGAUCAGGGUUUUAGUCAGCUGCCAGGGCUCAACAGUACAUUCAGCAUGGGUGUGCGAGUUACCUUGCGUAUGUGGUUAAUACGCAGGACAAGGAUCUGGUUUCAGUAUCAGAGGUUGAAGUGGUUAGGGAUUUUGCUGACGUGUUUCCGGAGGAGUUGCUCGGAGUGCCUCCAGAGAGGCAGGUCGAGUUAAGGAUCGAUCUAGUGCCAGGUGCGGCCCCUAUCUCCAAGGCGUCGUACCGAUUGGCACCACCAGAGAUACAAGAGUUGUCAUCACAGCUGCAGGAAUGAUGGUUUGUACCAGAUGUGCAUAGACUACUGGGAGUUGAGCAAGUUAACGGUGAAGAACCUUUACCCACUCCCAAGGAUAGAUGACCUAUUUAAUCAGUUACAGGGAGCAUCUUGGUUCUCCAAGAUAGAUUUAAGGUCUGGGUAUCACCAGUUCAGGGUUAGGGAGGAGGACGUGGAGAAGACCGCGUUUCGGACUCGUUAUGGACAUUACGAGUUUGUAGUGAUGCCAUUUGGGCUCACCAAUGCGCUGACGAUAUUCAUGGACCUGAUGAAUCGGGUCUUCUGACCGAUGCUCAAUCGCUCAGUUAUCGUAUUUAUAGAUGAUAUCUUUGUGUACUCCAGAUCUGAGAGUAGCAUGAGGAGCAUCUUCAGGAGUUAUUGGGGGUUUUGAGACGAGAGCGGUUGUAUGCCAAGUUAUCGAAGUGCGAGUUUUGGUUACGGUAGGUUCAGUUCCUUGGACACCUCGUUAACCAGGAGGGGAUUUUGGUUGAUUCGGCCAAAAUCAAGGCGGUUAUGCAGUGGGAGGUUCCGAAAUCUCCCUCGGAUAUCAAGAGCUUCUUGGGUUUAGAUGGGUACUACCGGAGAUUCAUACAGGAUUUCUUCAAGAUUGCAGUACCCCUCACUCAUCUGACGAGGAAGGGGGUGGAUUUAUGGUGGGGCCUUAAGCAGCAGAAGGCCUUCGAGACUCUCCGACAACGACUAUGGACUUAGUGCCUGUUGUAUAAACCCUGGCGAUGAUGGAUUUCGUGCCUAUUCCUUAGGAUAAUCCUUAGAAAUAAAUGAACGAGGGAUAGUUAAUUCUUAGGGUAGAUCUUUAAGAGUAAAGAAGAUAAUGGGGAUGGGUAAUUGGGUUGAUUGUUUGAUGUUAAAACAUAAUAAUUAUAUUAUUGUGGGUUGAAAACCCUAUGUACUCACCAGGUUUUCCCAACCUGACUCAGUCAAGUUUAUUUGCAUCAUAGGUGUCGAUAUGAAGCUACUUUACACUGAGAGAUUUAAAAGAGAUACAGAUCACUAGUGUAAAUGAAUGUAAGUUUUGUUGAUGCUUAUGUUUCUGUAUUUACGAUGACAUCCUAAUGUUUUGAAAAUGAAUAAAAAUACAUUUAUUCAAAAAAUGCUUCGAUAACAUAUUUAUCAUGUUUUCCUGGGAACAAAUUACGCAACUUUUUUAUUAAAAGGGUACUUUGAUUUUUAUAAAGCAUAAACAUAAUCGGUCUUUUCUAGCCUUGAAAAUAGGGAUGUCACAUCUUGAGCAAAGAAGAAGGGUCGAGAAGCAUCAAUUGAAGAAUCAAAGUCAAGGGUAGUUAGUUUUCACUAACUAACAAGGUGAGUUUUAAUUCACUCUAUCACAUUAUGUAUGAAUUCUUAUAUGUUUAUGUUAAUAUGUAUAUAUGUUUAUACGCUUGUAGUAUUUUGUUAAAUACCCAAUACUCAUUAGAUGAAGAUAAAUGCAUUGUUAUAGGAAUUAUAACCUUAUAAAUGAUUAUGUAAUUAUGAGUACAUGUUAGAGGUAUUGUGUAAAUACCGAGAUAUGUUAGAUGUAGAUAGAAUGUGAAUACCUCCAAGAUAUUAGAUAAAAAUAGAUUAUGAUUAUAUGUGUAUAAUCAUGAAAAGAAGUAUGUAUGUAUGUUUAGAGUAUGUAUGUGUGAUGGAAGAUAAAGUACGAAUGUGUGGUUGAGAAUAUAGUAUGUAUGUGUGGUUAAGAAUAGAGUAUGUAGAUGUGAUUGAGAUAGAGUAUGUAAAGGUGGUUAGAUAUCUAUGGUAUUGUGUCGGAUUACCAUCAUAGAUGAGAUGGAGAUAGAAUAAUGAUAUAUGGAUAGAUGUCAAGGGUAUUGUGUGAAAUACCUAUGAGUUAGUAGAUAAAGAUUUAGAUUAAGUACUUAAAUAUGUUAAGUACGAGAGUUGUAGUAGAGAUUUGUUAAAGAGAUGAUGCGAUAGAUUGAGAUAGGACGUAUGAUGUGUAAGACUAUGGCGAGAUCAUAACAUUGACAUGAAUGAUUAUAAGAAGGCAAAAAGAUGAUUCCUUCGGGAAUGAGAUAGAUGAUUCCUUCGAGAAUGUAGAUAGAUCAUUCUUGCAAGAAUAAAUGACAUAUGAUUCGAUAAGUUUGAAAAAGGUUCCAUGAGUGAAACAAGAUAAGAAGUUUCUUUAGAGAAAGUUGAUGUAAUGCGUGAGGGAUUCAAUAACAGAGUAGCUGUUAAUGGAUCUGUGUGAGAUCAAAGUGAGGGGACUUAGCCUGAAUGGUUGUACUUCAGUAAAUUAGAAUUGUGUUGUCCCCUAUAUGAUAGGUGAAGCUAUCAUAGAUUAUUAGACCGACUAGGUCUAAAAUAGAUUGGAGUGAUAGAAGGCAAGAAAGCAAGAAGAGAUGGAAGUAAAUGUGAGAUGAGAUGAAGAGAUAGGAGAAAGUAUGCCCUGGAUUGAGAAGAGAAUGAGAUGUAAUAGAGAAGGGAAUGAGAAGAGAUAUAGAUAAAAUAGAACAAUAGGAAAGAGACGAUGUGAGAAUAAGGAAUAAGAGGAGCCGGGAAGAGGCUGAGAUAGAGUUUGAGACGAGUGUGAGAAGAGAUGAGAAGACAUGAGUUGAUAUAAAGUAUGAGUAAUGAAAGAAAGAACAAGAGUAAUGGAGUAUGUUCACAUGAAAUUGGAAUAAGUUAUAAAGACUAUGGUGUGGUGGUCUGAUGUUGUAGAUUUCUUUCAUGUAUUGCAGGUGUAGAUAUGUAUUGCAGGUGUAGAUAGUAGUUGUUGUAGAAUAGGAAGUAAGACCACAAGAACUUUAACUAUAAGUAGUUUACUUUUGAUUUUUCCUUAUUGCUUUAAAAUUUUGUUUAUGAUUUUAUUGUAACUCGAAUAUAGUUUGGGAUGUAACAUUUUAGAGUUAUAGAAUUCCGCAAUUUGUAGAAAACUCUGAUAAUCUGUAGAUAAUUAGAUGAGAAAAUUUUGGGUCGUUAUAGAUACUGUCUUGUACUACAAUUAGUAGUAAUCCUUUAUUUAAAAACUAAAGGAAAAAUUAUGUCUUUUUUUUAACAUUCUUUUUUUGUCGGAUGUGUUGUACGAAAGCGAUCUUCUAUCAUAUGGUAGGGGUUGCCGACCAUCCUACCUCCCCCUUAUCUCAUCUUUAUGAGAUUAGGUUAAUGUUGUUACAAAAAUCAAAUUGAACAAAAAAAAUCGAUUUUCUAAAAACCAAAAACCAAAGUGUUGGUUUUCAAAAUGGUUUUCAUUUUGGUUUUGAAUUUUCUAUUUUUUGUACGGUUUAGUUUUUUGCAAACCCUUAUUAACCACCAAAAUUCAUGUUUUCGUCAAUCACGAUACAACCGACAUACCUCAUGAAAUGGAAUUAUCAUGGUUGAAAUAAUAUAUAUAAAAUGUUUUUCUUAUUUGAAAGAUAACCUAAAGCACAUUUGAAAGAUUUAUGUUCAAAUAGGCUACAUAAAGUAUUCACAAAAAUGAUAAUCCUCUAAUGAUUUUGAUAAGAAAGCAUUAUGCAUUUAUGGUUUCUCUCUCUCUCUCUCUCUCUCUCUCUCUAUAUAUAUAUANNNNNNNNNNNNNNNNNNNNNNNNNNNNNNNNNNNNNNNNNNNNNNNNNNNNNNNNNNNNNNNNNNNNNNNNNNNNNNNNNNNNNNNNNNNNNNNNNNNNNNNNNNNNNNNNNNNNNNNNUAUUUUCAAAUAUAUAUAUAUAUAUAUAUAUAGAGAGAGAGAGAGAGAGAGAGAGAGAGAGGUGGGUUCAAUUGACAAAAUAAAAAAGGUUGAGAAUGGGGGAAUCAUUCUCAGCCACUCAUUUAAUCUAAACAUAAAAAGACACUGUGACAAACGUGUAAAUAUGUUAAUAACAUUCAAUCUCAAAUACGUAGCUAUAGAUAAUUCGAUAACAGUUCGUUCAUCAUCAAAACUUUUCCUCCAACCUUCAAUAAUCAUCCAGAUUUCUUCAACUAAACCAGAAUUUCUUCACUGUUCAUGAAAUUGGAAUCGGAGUUCUGGACUCGCAGUCACACUCGACAUUGAAGGACUCAGAAUCGGUACUCACAGGUUCUCAAUCGGAUUUUCGAAAAUCAAAAUCAAAAUGAGAAAUUGAUCAAACAUAGGAUGUCGCAUCUGAAGUCGAAAUUGGAAGUAUAUGAUGAUUUGGAAUUGAUAAAUUGAUGUUUUUAACAUUUUUAAAAUAGUUAACUUGUAUGCACUCCAACUGUUUGAUGAAAUGCAUAAACUAAAUUACCACGUUAUAUUCACAUAUGAAUAUGUUUUCUCACCUGAAUAAGUAUAUGAUUAUUAAAAACACAAAACAAAUAUGCAAGUCUGUAUGUUAUUCAUAUGUGAAUAACAUAUAAAAAUUAUAUAUAUUUGUCAAAAUACCUUCAAAUAUUCAUAACUAAAUAUAUUCACAAGUGAAUAUACCUUGUAAUAUUUAUAUGUGAAUAUACUGUGUAAUAUUCAUAAGUGAAUAUAUCAUCUAAUAUCACAAAUGAAUAUACUAUGUAAUAUUCACAUAUGAAAUAUCAUUUAAUACUCAUAAGUGAAUAUACCAUCUAAUAUUCACAAGUAAUAUACUAUGUUAAUAUUCACAAGUGAAUGCAUCGUCCAAUAUUAAAAUAUGAAUAUACCAUGUUUAUUAUAUGUUAUAUUCAUAUAAGAAUGAUACUUAAAUUGUAAAAAAAAAAAAUCAUACUUUUUAUUCAUAAGUGAAUAACAAAUAUACUAUAAUAAAACCUGAUGCAUUUUUAUUCACUUAUGAAUAACGAUAACUAAAAAUAUAAAAAAAAAUAAAUUUUUUAUUUUAUCUUAAAACUAUAUCAAUAUGGAUGUCUAUUUGUAGAGAAUAAAAAAUCAUGAAUUUUGGUAUAUUUAAAAUCAUUUUUUGAUAAAAAUAGCUUCUAAAAAAAAAAAACCGAAAAAAACUAUAUUUUUGUAUAUAUAUUAAGGUAACGAUUAGCAUAGUUUAAGGAAAUAUGUUUUGUUGGAAAACACAUGUGCAUUCCUUUCUCAUUUCCGCUGGUACGUUGGAGGCUUUUGCGGCAAAAAUAAAUGAUUGGCUGAGAAUGAUUCCUCCAUUCUCAACUUUUUUUUCUAAAUUGAACCCUCCCUCCCCUAUAUAUAUGUAUAUAUAUAUAUAUNNNNNNNNNNNNNNNNNNNNNNNNNNNNNNNNNNNNNNNNNNNNNNNNNNNNNNNNNNNNNNNNNNNNNNNNNNNNNNNNNNNNNNNNNNNNNNNNNNNNNNNNNNNNNNNNNNNNNNNNNNNNNNNNNNNNNNNNNNNNNNNNNNNNNNNNNNNNNNNNNNNNNNNNNNNNNNNNNNNNNNNNNNNNNNNNNNNNNNNNNNNNNNNNNNNNNNNNNNNNNNNNNNNNNNNNNNNNNNNNNNNNNNNNNNNNNNNNNNNNNNNNNNNNNNNNNNNNNNNNNNNNNNNNNNNNNNNNNNNNNNNNNNNNNNNNNNNNNNNNNNNNNNNNNNNNNNNNNNNNNNNNNNNNNNNNNNNNNNNNNNNNNNNNNNNNNNNNNNNNNNNNNNNNNNNNNNNNNNNNNNNNNNNNNNNNNNNNNNNNNNNNNNNNNNNNNNNNNNNNNNNNNNNNNNNNNNNNNNNNNNNNNNNNNNNNNNNNNNNNNNNNNNNNNNNNNNNNNNNNNNNNNNNNNNNNNNNNNNNNNNNNNNNNNNNNNNNNNNNNNNNNNNNNNNNNNNNNNNNNNNNNNNNNNNNNNNNNNNNNNNNNNNNNNNNNNNNNNNNNUAUAUAUAUAUAUAUAUAUAUAUAUAUAUAUAUAUGAAGCCUAGGAAUACUAAACUGCCCAUUUUUUUGGCAGAAAUGGUCCCUGCACUUUGCUCCUCAUUCCUUACCUAUUUUGACAUUUUUGGUCCUUGCAAUCAAUAUUUUUACACUUUUUAUGAACCUUUUAAUAUUUAAACUUUGGCCACAAAACUUUAACAGUUUGACAACUUUGAUCUCUUUUCUAAAAGUUUGCUAAUUCAUACCCCUUUAAUUCUUUAACCUUUGAAACUUCUGAUCCCUGCAGUCAAAACUUUUACAUUUUUUCAUAAAAACAUGAAAAAAAACGUCCGAGGCAAAGUCCGGGCUUUUCAUCAUUGCACUUUCUACGUCUGUCAUAUUUAUCGAUUCGGAAACAAUAUUGAAAGCUUUUAGCCCCCGUGUAGAGGGGGUAACUUUUCUAGUUAAUAAUCAAAGUAAUAACUAGAAAAGAUUCCCCGGCGUUGCCGGGGUCGGAAAGUAUUGCUUUGUAAAGUAAAGUAGCAUGUUGAAUUGCAUUGAGAUAAUCUAGUAAAUGAAGAUAAAUAAUGUCAUCUAAUUACAUAAGUAAAGAAAUCUAAAUCAUUAUUUCUUGCAAUAAAAGAGGAAAAUAAAGAAAUGGUCUCACAAAUUGAACUUUAUUGCCAUGUAUGGCAGCGGCCGGAAAACCAAUCUGGAAAAUAUAGACCGUUGUUUUUUAUCCGUUAAUGUGAGGGUAAUUUGGUCUUUUAAGGUAUUAGGGACUGAAUUUGUGACGACGAGUAAACCAUAUGGACCAUUUAUGUAAUUUUGGCGGUGGUGGUGGUGGUGGUGAUGGCAACUGGUGGGUGGUUUUAUGGUAUUGGGUGAGUAUCUUUUAAUAAAUAAAAAAUUAAUUUAAAACCAAAAAAAGAAAUAAAAAUUAAUAAAAAAAAUAGGAUUAAGAGUAAAAGAGUGAUUUCGGUUUCUAUCGUUGUCAUCGAUGUGUUAAAUCUGGUAAACCAUAGGGACCAAUCGUGUAAUUUUGUCUAACAAUAAUAAUAAUAAUAAUAAUAAUAAUAAUAAUAAUAGCGAGGGAUCAUUUCUGCCAAAAGACUAAAUACUAAUAAUAUGUAACAAAAGGCGAGGGUUAUGAAAAAUUCAAANNNNNNNNNNNNNNNNNNNNNNNNNNNNNNNNNNNNNNNNNNNNNNNNNNNNNNNNNNNNNNNNNNNNNNNNNNNNNNNNNNNNNNNNNNNNNNNNNNNNNNNNNNNNNNNNNNNNNNNNNNNNNNNNNNNNNNNNNNNNNNNNNNNNNNNNNNNNNNNNNNNNNNNNNNNNNNNNNNNNNNNNNNNNNNNNNNNNNNNNNNNNNNNNNNNNNNNNNNNNNNNNNNNNNNNNNNNNNNNNNNNNNNNNNNNNNNNNNNNNNNNNNNNNNNNNNNNNNNNNNNNNNNNNNNNNNNNNNNNNNNNNNNNNNNNNNNNNNNNNNNNNNNNNNNNNNNNNNNNNNNNNNNNNNNNNNNNNNNNNNNNNNNNNNNNNNNNNNNNNNNNNNNNNNNNNNNNNNNNNNNNNNNNNNNNNNNNNNNNNNNNNNNNNNNNNNUGGCUAUUGUUAUUUAAUUUUUUAAAAUUUAUUUGUUUAAUAUUUUAUUUUCUAUCAUUAUUAUUAUUUAAAACACCAAACAUUAUUUUUUGAUUUUAUUGGUAACAGUAUAAUCAUUUAUAUAGAGUUAUUUUUAACUAUUGUUAUUGUAAGUUAUUUUAAGGUACUUAUUUGGAAACUUUUAACGAUUAUAAAAAUAUCUUUAAGAAAAAAUUUAGUUUAAUUGAUAUUACAAUUUAAUUUUUGCAAUUAUCACUACAAUUUAUCACUUUUAACUGUUUAUAAAAUAUUCUUCAGUUUUUUAAGUAGAACUAAAAUUUAUAUUUAAGUUGACAUUGUAAUGUUAUAUUUAAGUUAACAAUUUAAGUAUUUUGUCCAAACUGUUCAAAAGUUGUAGCUUUAAACUGAUAAUAAUUUAUAUAUAACAACAUAUUAAAUCUAAGAAAUUAAGUAUAAUAUGUUAAAAAUUAAAGACAUAACUUUAUAAGUAGAAGUAUAUUAUAUUAUUUCAAAAUUGAAAUUUAGUUUAUUUAUGAUUACACUUUAGAUUUGAUAUUUAUUUGACCUUAUUAACCAACUUAUAAUCAUUAUUGUAAAUACACUUCAAUUUAUCACUUUUAACUAUUUAGAUAAUAUUUUUUGGGUUGUUUAAGUUAAACUAAAAUUUAUAUUUUUGUUGACCCUGUAAUAUUAUAUUUAAAUUAAUAAUUUAAGUAUUUUAUACAAAUUUUUCCAAAAUUAUAUCUUUAAAAUGAUAAUGGUUUACAUCCAACAAUAUAUUAAAACUAAUAAAUAAUAUAUAGUAUUUUAAAAAUUAAAAAACAUAACUUUAUAAGUAGUAGUAAAUAUAUUAUUUUAAUAUUGAAAUUUAGUUAUUUUAAUAUUAUUAUUUGAAAGAAAUUGAAAAGUCAUGGGGGUUUCAAAUGAAUGUAGUGAAAGAAAAAAUGAUGGGAGUUUCAAAUGAAUGUGGUGAAAGAAAAAUGGUUCCUUUAUAAAUAUACUAGGCGAAUGCCUGCGCGUUGCGCAGAAACACCUAUAUAAUAAUUUGUAUAUACUAAAUUGAUAUAAUAUAUUGAUUAUUUUGAAUUAUAUGAUAAUAUAUACAUUUAUAAUAACUUCUUAAUCUCAAUCGUUUAAAUAACUUCUGACCGCGAGUUACACAUGAAUAAAAUUAAAUAUAAUAUACGAUUUGAUGUUAUUUAUAGUUCUUUAUAUUGUUAAUUAAUUUUUUUUAAUUUAUUUACUUAAUGUUUUAAUUUCUAUCAUUAUAAUUAUUUAAAACAUCAAACAUUGUUUUUUUAUUUUACAGCUAACAAUAUAAUUAUUUAUAUAGAGUUGUUUUUAACUAUUGUUAUUAUAAGUUAUUUUAAGCUAGUUAUUUGGAAACUUUUAACGAUUAUAAAAAUAUAUUUAAGAAAUAUUUUAGUUAAAUUGAAAUUACAAUUUAGUUUUUGCUUUUAUCACUACAAUUUAUCACUUUUAACUAUUUAUAAAAUAUUCUUUAGUUUUUUAAAUGGAACUGAAAUUUAUAUUUGAGUUGACAUUGUAAUAUGCAGAAACACUUAUAUAGUUGAUAUCUUUACAAAUAUAUAUUUUUUGAAAUAUAACACUAACGUUGUUGUUAAAUUUGAUAUAAAAAUUCGUAUAUUAAUUUGAUAUAAUAUAUUGACUAUUUUGAAAUAUAUGAUAAUAUAUAAAUCUAUUAUAACAUCAUAAUCUUAAUCGUUUGAAUAACUUCUACUCGCGAGUUACACAUCAAUAAAAUUAAAUAUUAUAUAUGGUUUAAUAUUAUUUAUAGUUGUUAUUUUUAACUAAUUUUUUAAAAUAUAUUUGCUUAAUGUUUUAAUUUCUAUCAUUAUAAUUAUUUAAAACAUCAAACAUUAUUUUUUGAUUUUAAAGGUAACAAUAUAAUCAUUUAUAUAGAGUUAUUUUUAACUAUUGUUAUUAUAAGUUAUUUUAAGCUACUUAUUUGAAAAUUUUUAACGAUUAUAUAAAUAUAUUUAGGAAAUAUUUUAGUUAAACUGAUAUUACAAUUUAGUUUUUUGCAUUUAUCACUAUAAUUUAUCACUUUUAACUAUUUACAAAAUAUUAUUUGGUUUUUUUAGUGGAACUGAAAUUUAUAUUUAAGUUGACACUGUAAUGUUAUAUUUAAAUUAACAAUUUAAGUAUUUUGUCCAAACUGUUCAAAAAUUGUAGCUUUAAACUGAUAAUGGUUUACAUGCAACAACAUUUUAAAUCUAAUAAAUUAAGUAUAAUAUGUUAAAAUUUAAAGACAUAACUUUAUAAAUAGAAGUAAAAAUAUUAUUUUAAAUUGAAAUUUAGUCUAUUUAUGAUUAUACUUUAGGUUUGAUAUUUAUUUAACCUUAUUAACCAACUUACAAUCAUUCUUAGAAAGACACUACAAUUUAUCACUUUUAACUAUUUAUAAAAUAAUCUUUGGGUUGUUUAAGUUAAAUAAAAUUUAUAUUUAAGUUGAGCCUAUAAUGUUAUAUUUUAAUUAAUAAUUUAAGUAUUUUAUACAAAUUGUUCAAAAAUUAUACCUUUAAAAUGAUAAUGGUUUACAUCCAACAAUAUAUUAAAACUAAUAAAUUAAGUAUAAUAUGUUAAAAGUUAAAAANNNNNNNNNNNNNNNNNNNNNNNNNNNNNNNNNNNNNNNNNNNNNNNNNNNNNNNNNNNNNNNNNNNNNNNNNNNNNNNNNNNNNNNNNNNNNNNNNNNNNNNNNNNNNNNNNNNNNNNNNNNNNNNNNNNNNNNNNNNNNNNNNNNNNNNNNNNNNNNNNNNNNNNNNNNNNNNNNNNNNNNNNNNNNNNNNNNNNNNNNNNNNNNNNNNNNNNNNNNNNNNNNNNNNNNNNNNNNNNNNNNNNNNNNNNNNNNNNNNNNNNNNNNNNNNNNNNNNNNNNNNNNNNNNNNNNNNNNNNNNNNNNNNNNNNNNNNNNNNNNNNNNNNNNNNNNNNNNNNNNNNNNNNNNNNNNNNNNNNNNNNNNNNNNNNNNNNNNNNNNNNNNNNNNNNNNNNNNNNNNNNNNNNNNNNNNNNNNNNNNNNNNNNNNNNNNNNNNNNNNNNNNNNNNNNNNNNNNNNNNNNNNNNNNNNNNNNNNNNNNNNNNNNNNNNNNNNNNNNNNNNNNNNNNNNNNNNNNNNNNNNNNNNNNNNNNNNNNNNNNNNNNNNNNNNNNNNNNNNNNNNNNNNNNNNNNNNNNNNNNNNNNNNNNNNNNNNNNNNNNNNNNNNNNNNNNNNNNNNNNNNNNNNNNNNNNNNNNNNNNNNNNNNNNNNNNNNNNNNNNNNNNNNNNNNNNNNNNNNUAUAUAUAUAUAUAUAUUUAAAGAAAUGAAUCUUAGGAAUAGUAAACUUGCCAUUUUUUGGCAACUUUGCUCCUCAUUCUUUGGUCAUUUUGACACUUUUGGUCAUUGCAAUCAAUAAUUUUAUACUUUUUAUGAACCUUUUAAUAUUUAAAUUUUGGUCACAAAAUUUUAAUGGUUUGACAACUUUGAUCCCUUUUCGAAAAAGUUGCUAAUUCCUAGCCCUUUAAUUCUUUAGCCAUUUUGACACUUCUGGUUCUUACAGUCCAAACUUUUACAUUUUUCACUUUUGUUCNNNNNNNNNNNNNNNNNNNNNNNNNNNNNNNNNNNNNNNNNNNNNNNNNNNNNNNNNNNNNNNNNNNNNNNNNNNNNNNNNNNNNNNNNNNNNNNNNNNNNNNNNNNNNNNNNNNNNNNNNNNNAUAGCAGGGAUAACCUUUCUAGUUAUUAUUAACUCUAAUUGUUAACAAAUUUUAUUAAAGAAUCGAAAAUCACAUGUCAAUCUAUUAAUUAUCUAUUUUAAAUUUUAAAUUUUAAAUCUAUUAGUUAUGUAUUUUAAAUUUUAAAUUUUAAAUUUAACACUCUAAUAAUUACAUUAAAUUGAUAACAUUAGAAUAAAAAUAAAUUAAAAUUAAUAUAUAUUAUAAGGUUAUAUAAUUUCAUGUGUUUAUAUAAAUCAACGGUUAUAAUUUUAUAUAACNNNNNNNNNNNNNNNNNNNNNNNNNNNNNNNNNNNNNNNNNNNNNNNNNNNNNNNNNNNNNNNNNNNNNNNNNNNNNUGUUCUCAUUUGAUCAUCUCCAUAUAUAUAUAUAUAUAUAUAUAUAUAUACACACACUAGUGGUGGACCCGCGCAAAGCGGCGGCGGCAAUUUAUUUCAUUUUUAAAAAAUAGUUUCUAGGCGGCGAUUGCUUUCCUUUUGGCAUGCGUCAAAGCGUUUCGUUUCUCUAGCCAUUGUUGUUUUGGCUUGAAGGUAUAAGUUUGUUGUUUGUUUAGGUUUAAAUGAAAGUAUUUAGUUGGCCUUUAUUUUCGUUUACGUGAAUAGUUUCGUGACAACAGUUAGAUUCCUUUCGACGUGUUUCAAAUAGUUUUCUUUCAAUCGCUGACUGUACAUUGCUAUUUUUUGUGAAGACUAUAUGUACAUUAUUUUCUUGGGUAAAACAACAUGUGCUGCUCUUUUUUGUCAAAAAAAUGUUUUUUAAACACGAUUAGAAUCUGAUCAACAAAUAGUGAUAACAAAAAGUUACACGACUCGCUAAAUCGGCAAUAUAAGUUAGAGUGAUUUAGAUUAAUUUAUUUCCACCUUUGACAACAUAAUGGUUUUUGACGUUUUUCUAACAAUUAAAGGAUCCAAGUUCACCAUUUUUUCCCAAUAGCAAAACCAAAGCUACAUGCCAUCUUUUAUUUUUCUUUAAUUGAAACUUUUCUUGGGUUUGUAAUACUAAACGUCAAACUUUUGUACAACUUUAAAAUUUUAACAAAUAUUGUUUCUUUUCUGUUGUCAAAUACAUAAUGCAUAAAAAAGAUAAUGUGAUCACAUCUUUUUUUUUUAGUUUUCUACGUUUCCAUAUUUCAUAGUAUACUAUAAUUUUAAUAUAUGUUUCUUUCCUUAAUUCACGUUAUCCUAUCAAAUUUGCUAAGGGUUGGGAAUUUGGGUUUCAAUUUACUACCCUUUUGGAUUUAAAAAAUCUAUAAAUUUCACAGCUGUACUUAAUGCCUUAUAACUUGUAUCUUGUCUUCUUAAAUAAAUGAAUAUUAUAACAAAACUUAAAAAUAAAGGAAUAAAAAUAUGAAAGUUAUAAAAGAAUAAAUAUAAUGAUAUUAAUGCAAACAAAUCAUGAAUUCCCAUGUUCAGAAUCUCAAUGUCUUUCUUACGCCAUAUUGUUUAAGCUACACCUGGAAAUAGAUUUGCUUAAAGUUUCUACUGUGGGCAUCCCAAGCUUCAACAGGGGAGAUCCAUCACUCUUCCAGACGGGCCUUUUGAUUAUUUGUAGAAAAAACAACACACAUCAAGUGUCUGAUAUUUGACAAAAUAAGGAUAUAGAGACUUCCACCAUCAGCCAUCCUCGGCUAAAAUAUCAUAUAAUCAUGACAAAGAAUGCAAGAAAAAAGAAAAAGACUUGCUACAAACUACAGGAAAUAGAAAUAUACCUUAUUCUUUUACCAAUGUAGACUUUCCUUUUAUUAAGUUCAUGAAAAGGAAAUAGACUUUCCUUGGUUUGUCAUAUGUAUAGAAUCUUACUCUCAUUUCAACCAUAAAUAAAAUAUAUUUUAAUUUUUUUUUGUAUAAAACCUUAAUACUUUGAAAGUACAUUGCUAUAAAUGGGUUGCAAGAAAUAGCAAUGUACUUUCAAAUACAAUCAUAUUUAGCCUGAAACGUUUCUAGAUGCCAGGUGGGACAAAACUGAUUAAAUAAAUGAAAAAAAAAUGUUGAUUUUUGCAUAUAGCAUCUUACUCCUAAAAUGUGAUCAGAUCUGUUAAACGGUAUAGAACAUAUUUUCAAAACAUAGAAAAUUACACCAGAGCUGUAGGAUCAACUUGACCAGCAUCUGAUAAAGCUACAAACCAAAAUUCUAAUAGAAGUCGCCAGCUUAAAAGCCAAAAAAUAUGAAUGUAAGUACACUGUCACUAUUCCAUUCAUCGCCUUAUGUUAGUUUCAUUCUAUUUUUUCUUAUUUCUUUUCUUUAUUUCUUUCCUUUGUCAACAUGUUUGCUUGAAAUCACCAGUUAUCCUCAAGUGUUUAUCUGCAAGUUAAUAAUUACAUAUCAAAAAAUCUAUAUCUGACGUUAAUAGGCAAAUAUUUUUGAUGUAAAACCUUGAACUAUGAUUUAAAGGCUUGGAACAAAUAAGGAUAAAGUGCAGACCUCUAUUUCUGAGCCUCUUUGGUUCUUUGUCAUCUAGAUGAUCAUACUAUUGAAAGGUCUAGUGAACCUUUGUCUCUUUUAUAGGGACACAAAAGUCAAAGUCAUUCAUUUAUGUGAACAAAAAUUAACUUCAAAACCAAGAUGAUUCUUAAUAGAACUCAGUAAGGAUUUUUACCUUGAACAAAGAUAAACCAUCGAACCAACAAAAUAUCUACCAUGUGCAAGUCCAUCAUGCUAUUAGAGAAUUCAAUUUUCCUGUGAAAAGUAAAAUCAAAAUCAAUAAUUUUUAUUCAAGUUACAUAUGUAUGCUCAAUUUAUGUUACAAAUACAGUUCUGUAAGAGCAAAUGAUUCCAUAAUACAGUGAAAAUAGUAGUAUUUUCCAAAGGUCAAAAGUCCAUCAUGAUCUUUUGGGAACCAAAAAAAGGAUUUUCAUUUUGACUUUAAUUUGGUUCGCUCAAGAUAUAUUUGUCAAUAAAAUGGAUCAGUGUAAGAUAAAGUAUGAGGCUAAAGAUGGUAUUAAAGAGUGCAAUAAAAUGUGAGAAUAAGGGUAAAUCAGUCGUAAACAAUCAAGUACUUGAUUCUUACUUGCGCAUCAAUAACCUGGGCAUAAAUGAUUCUCCAAAUUGGUCAAUAUGUUGAAAUAGAACCAUUCUAAUAGCUUGUUUAUUAGAGGCAAAACAUUCCAUUGAUGUUGGUGGGACCUGCAUUUAUAUCCCCAAAAGUUUCAGUAAUUUUAUAAACAAACUUUGUGCAUGUAUCUAAAGAAAACUCAAACAAAUCUUGUUUUGGUUAUUUUACAAAAAAAAUCCCUAAAAAAAGCAAUAAGUUGAAAAUUAAGUACUGUAAAGAACUAAACCAUCGAUUCCUACCAUUCCAACUAAUCAAAGAAUAUAUGCAAUUGAAACCUAACUCAAGAUACAAACAUAUAAACACAAAAUUAGGAGAAUCUUACCAUGUUCUUCUUACUGAUUUGUUCAAAACCUUCACAAACAGAUGCAAACAAAUAACAAAAAAAAAAAACAAAUGUCAGACACAACUUUUAAAAUUUGAAUUGUGAAACACAUAAAAGUUACCUUAAAGUAAUUUGAAGCACUGGCACCAGAGUAAAUGACUUUCCUAUUGAUAAAGGAACAUUUGGGAGAGAUAGAGGUAGUGCACCGGUGGUGGUUCAUUCUAGUAGUGGCUGUUGUAGAAUGAUAGAAGAAGUGCGAUGGAUAGAGAGUGUGAGCUUUUCAGGAAAAAAAAAAGCAUUAAGAACAGUGUCUAUGGUUUUCUCUGGUUGUGCAGUGAUGUUUCUUGUGUUUAAUGGUGAAAGUUCAGUGUUGGUCUGAAUACAGAAAUCAAACAAAAACCAAUUAAUCAAUUUCCCAGAAAAUGUGUAUUUGAUGGUGGGAAAGGACGUACCAUAGAUUAAAGAAUAAUAAGAAGAAAGGAUCUUACAUCGAGUUUGAUGGAGCUGCACCUUCCUAGAAUCUUCACCCCAGUCAAAUAAGAAGAGGAAGAAGAAAAAAAAACAUUAUCCCUUCGAUUUUCAAUACUCCACGUCUAUUCUAGCACCUUCUAGUAAUCUUCAUCCCUGAUUGAGAAACCAUAGGGUUUUUUUAGAGAGAAUAAUGAGCGUGGUGUGGUGGCGGCUGACAAUGGUUAGGGUCUUCCAGAGAGAACAAUGUGUUUAUGGAUAAGAGAUCGGUGCUGAAGGAAGAGAUCGGCAAAUGAAGAUCACGAUGAUGCAGAUGAGCCUUGAAGGCGGGAGAAAAGAACAUAUCUGUGAUUUUUUAGUGUGUGUUCAUAGAUCUAUGCUUUGUGGCGUUCUGAUGGUGACAACGGUAGAGAUCGGAACCCAAAUAGAAAAAUGAAGAGGGAAACAGUGAUGAAGCUGAAUGUUGUCGAGAAAUCUAGCAAAAAAGAUGGUGGGUUGUCAUCGUCGUUGAGAGAAGCCAUCGGGAUGAGGCUAGAAGAAGUGAGUGAGAGAAAAUGUGGAACAAGAUUUCAAAAAAAAUUGAAUAAUCCAUGAUUUUCAACACAUAGAAUGCCGCCUAAAGUUGCUCAAGUCCGCAUCUUACUCAGGAAGAGUAAACGAAGCUUUAAUUGAUUGUAUGUAAUGUCUAAAUACUUGUACAUGGUAAACACUCUAUUGUGAUUGGAUAUAAGCAUUUUGGAUUACAAGCAAAAUAAUCCUCACCGUCCAAUACAGAUUCAGUGGUCCAGAUUUUGUUUCCUUGAUUUUUAAGACAUUGUCUUAAAAUGUAAAGGGUCCACAAUUAGGCUAUCAGGAGUGGGAAGGAAAAGACGCGUGGGAGCUGACGUGUCAGCCCCCUUCACGCGUGAACACCGCCCCACCUUCUGGUGGGAGUUCCGUGGAGCUAAAGACGGGUGAAGACGUUUGAUUUGAUUGACUAUUCCUUUUUGACCGUUGCUUUAUUACCGUUUGUAAAAAAAAAAUUAAUUAAUUAAUUAAUUACUACCAACUCUCUAUAUAUAUCAACAUAUAUUUUACCUUUCAAACACACACCAAAUUUUGAACACAAACAAAUAUACUCUCAUUCAAAAAAUACACUUUCCUCCGUGGAUCCAAACCAAAAUAACCCACCCACCCCAAACACCCCAAAUACUCCAAAUGAUCCGUUAGCAAACAUUGGUUAUAUGCAAUUGUUAUCAUCCCCCGUUCAACAACAACCUUUAUUUACCAAUCUUUCAUACCACCUACACUACUACCAAAACCA
rnacentral:lncRNA from 1 species